UUAGGUUUAAAGAAAUGCUUGCUCAAUGCAUACAUGUGUUCUGGUCAUCUGCCACAAGUUUUACCUUAAUCUCUAAUUAUAGCAAAGAACGUAAAAAGCAAAUUAAGCAGCAAUCCAGGAGAUAAUGCAACUUGUGCAAAUGAAAUGUCAAUUACGAUCACAAUUAGCUGUGAAGUUUUCUUCUUUGAUAAUGGGGAUUCUCAUAAUAAUACAAACGACUACACCAAUAAAUCCAUGGGAUAAUAUUUGUAAAAUAGCUCCAUUGAGUCCAAUGUUGGUUCUCAGCACCUCAUUACUAUUUGUUCAACAGAACAUCAAAGGUUCAGCUAGCAGUAGCACACCAAGUCUAAACAGGCACAUGUUAAAACUGAGAAUAAAAAAGAGGCCAUAUUCUACACCACUAGACCAAAUUAUUCUGCGCAGUUGUAUCCUAUUGAUCUGAUUUAGCAGGGCAACCCUUGCAACAUCUGUCCCUUGCCUUCACGCUGCACCAUGAUCAAUCUCGUAGCCAAUGCGCAGGUACACAUGACAAAUUAACUUGCAUCUUCAUUAAGUCUGCGACAACCAGAUCUUAAGAUUCCUGUAGCUCUUCAUGAUCCCAACUCAUCCAACGGCCCCACAAAGCCGGCCUCCAUUGGGGCACAAUUAAACCCUGAUGUAGAAGCCGCACUACGAGAAUUCCUUCGGGAAAAUUGGGACAUUUUUGCCUGGCACCCUUCAGAUAUGCCAGGAAUCCCACGCAAGCUGGCAGAGCAUAGCCUAAAUAUCCUAAAAGGAUUCAAGCCAGUUAAACAGGCUCUUCGGCGAUUUUCCGAACCCAAAAGACAGGCAAUGGGAGAGGAGCUAGCCAAACUCUUAGAAAUCGGAUUCAUCAGAGAUAUAAAACAUCCGGACUGGCUAGCAAACCUGGUAAUGGUACCAAAAAAGGACAAAUCCUGGCGCCUUUGUGUCGAUUUCAAAGACCUUAACAAGGCCUGUCCAAAGGAUCCUUUCCCCCUCCCCCGCAUCGACCAAAUCAUCGAUGCUACCGCUGGGCGCGAUUCAUUGUGCUUCCUCGACGCAUACUCCGAAUACCAUCAAAUCAAGAUGGCGGAAACAGACCAGGCCGCAACGGCAUUCAUUACUCCAUAUGGACCAUUCUGCUUCAACACAAUGCCCUUCGGACUCAAAAACGCCGGCGCAACAUAUCAGCGCAUGAUUCAGACAUGUCUGGCUACCCAGAUAGGUAAAACAGUGGAGGCAUACGUAGACGAUGUGGUCGUUAAGACCAAACACGUCGAAACUCUAGUAGACGAUUUGAGGCUUACAUUCGACAACCUCCGAGCAUAUGACAUUAAGCUCAAUUCGGAAAAAUGUGUUUUCGGCGUACCGGCCGGAAAGCUCUUGGGCUUCAUUGUAUCCGGUAGAGGAAUUGAAGCAAAUCCAGCCAAGAUCCGAGCUCUGUCACAAUUGGAUAUCCCAAAAGACCUCAAACAAAUACAAAAACUAACUGGGUGCGCGGCGGCUCUAAGCCGCUUCAUCUCCCAUUUGGGAGAAAAGGCACUGCCCCUCUGUCGCCUCCUCCGGCGCACCGAACACUUCAAAUGGACGGAUGCUGCCACGGCCGGACUCGAAGAAAUUAAGGCCAUAUUGGCAACAAAUCCGGUCCUGGCCGCGCCCAACCUGGGCGAACCGAUGUUAUUAUAUAUCACAGCAACACAUCAAGUUGUCAGUGCGGUACUCGUCGUCAAACGAGAAACAGAAGGGCACAAAUUCCCUCUUCAAAACCAGUGUACUACGUAUCCACUGUCUUAACUCCAUGCAAGUCCCGGUACCCACAUUAUCAAAAGAUAGCAUACGCGGUGUUCAUGGCAUCCCGAAAGCUGUGACACUACUUUCAAGAGUGUUCCAUAACAGUGGCCUCCGAAGUACCUCUCAACGACAUUAUAAACAACCGCGACGCGACGGGCAGGAUUGCAAAAUGGGCCAUUGAGCUCUUACCAUUUGACAUAACCUACAAACCACAGUGAGCUAUAAAGUCGCAAGUUUUGGCUGACUUCAUCGCCGAAUGGACCGAAGCCGAACUCCCUAAAGAGUACGGCGCAUACUCCAAUUGGAUCAUGCAUUCGACGGCUCCAAAAUGUUGGCCGGCUUGGGGGCUGGCGUCGUCUUGACGUCCCCAACCGGAGACACAGUCCAAUACAUACUUCAAAUAAUGUACACGGACUCCAACAACGCAGCUGAAUAUGAGGCCCUUCUACAUGGUCUCCGGAUGGCAAUCUCCAUGGGUAUUCAACUCCUAGAGGUGCGCGGGGAUUCAAACCUUGCAAUAUCCCAAGUAAAUGGAGACUUUGAUGCCAAGGAUCUGAAAAUGGCAGCCUACCGUAACGCCGUCCUAAAAAUGUUAGCUCGGUUCGAAGGACUCGAAUUCCACCAUGUAGCCCGGGAUAAUAACCAGGUAGCAGACGUGUUGGCACGCAUCGGCGCAAAACGCGACGCCGUCCCUCCAAACAUCUUCCUAGAGCGGCUCUUUAAGCCAUCCGUAUUAUGGGAAGAGGAGUCCAGAAAUAACAACCCGGAACCAACUGCACCACCCAACACGGAACAUUCUGACACAAUCGGUGGCUCAGCCAAUGAAAUAACACCUUCAGCCCACGAAAUAAUGGCAGUAAUUGCCCCGUGGACGGAACCAUUCCUAGCCUACUUAAUUAGGCAGGAACUUCCCGAAGACCAAAAUGAGGCCCGCUGCAUAGUUCGGCGAUCUAAAGCCUACAAGGUCCAUGAGGGAGAACUUUAUAAGAAAAGCACAACUGGAGUCCUUCAAAGGUGUAUCUCCGAACAGGAAGGGCGAAAUCUCCUGGCUGAGAUUCACGCCAGACUCGGCGGGCACCACGCUGCAGCCAGGGCCCUUGUAGGCAAGGCCUUCCAUAUAGGAUUUUAUUGGCCGACAGCCCGGGCAGAUGCUCAAGACUUAGUCCAACGAUGCGUCCCCCACAGCACCAUCACUGAUAACGGCACGAAUUUCAUGGCUGGCGAGGUUAAACUCUGGUGCAAAAACAUGGGCAUCAAGCUCGACUAUGCUUCAGUCUAUCACCCUCAAACUAACGAUCAAGUCGAACGAGCAAAUGGUCUAAUCAUGAGCGGCAUUAAACCCAGAUUAGUGCGGUCCCUCACGGAAUCUAACACGCAUUGGGUAGAGGAGCUCGACUCCGUACUCUGGGGGCUGCGGACCACACCAAACCGCACUACCGGAUUCACACCAUUUUUUAUGGUAUACGACACAGAGGCAGUUUUGCCCUGCGAUAUAAUUCAUGACUCACCUCGCGUGCGCAUGUACGAAGAAAGAGAAGCCGAGUUGGAUCGGCAGGACAGUUUGGACGCCUUAGAGGAGGAGCGCGACGUGGCAAAAUCCCGUUCCGCAUUCUAUCAGCAGCAGGGUCGAAGAUAUCAAAGCAGAGAAGUACGGGCCAAAACUUACAAUCUUGGCGAGCUAGUUCUACGCCUGCCGGACAAGAAAAAGGACAAACUUAAGCCCAAAUGGGAAGGUCCCUUCAUCAUCGACCAAGUCCUUACCGGCGGUGCAUAUCGUCUACGCAACGCAUCUGACAACCGACUCGAGCCGAACCCAUGGAACGCAGCCCGUCUCCGAAGAUUCUACGCCUAGCGCCGGACUCAGAGUUCGUCUCCUUCCUCCGUCCACCUUUCAUAUUUUUUCGCUGUCUUUUGUUUCCCUCCUUUUUCCUCCCUCUUUCAGUAAAAGCCUUUGAGGGCUGAUCUCCGCAUUGUUCGCACAUGCUUGAUGUGUUGGGGAACGUAGCAGAAAUUCAAAAAAAAUUCCUACGUAACACCAAGAUCUAUCUAUGGAGAGACCAGCAACGAGUAGAAAGGAGAGUGCAUCUACAUACCCUUGUAGAUCGCUAAGCGGAAGCGUUCAAGUGAAUGGGGUUGAUGGAGUCGUACUCGUCGUGAUUCAGAUCACCGAUGAUCCUAGUGCCGAACGGACGGCACCUCCGCGUUCAACACACCUACAGCUCGACGAUGUCUCCCACGCCUUGAUCCAGCAAGGAGAGAGGGAGAGGUUGAGGAAGACUCCAUCCAGCAGCAGCACAACAGCGUGGUGGUGAUGGAGGAGCGUGGCAAUCCUGCAAGGCUUCGCCAAGUACCUACGGGAGAGGAGGAGGUGUCACGGGAGGGAGGGAGGCGCCAAGGGCUCAGGUAUGGAUGCCCUCCCUCCCCUCCACUAUAUAUAGGGGCAGGGGAGAGGGGGGAGGCGCAGCCUUGCCCCUUCCUCCAAGGAAGGGGUGCGGCUAAGAGGGGGGGAGGAGUCCAUCCUCCCCAAGGCACCUCGGAGGUGCCUUCCCCCUUUAGGACUCUCCCCUUUUUCCUAUAUCUUGGCGCAUGGGCCUCUAGGGGCUGGUGCCCUUGGCCCAUGUAGGCCAAGGCGCACCCCCUACAGCCCAUGUGGCCCCCCCGGGGCAGGUGGCCCCACCCGGUGGGCCCCCGGGACCCUUCCGGUGGUCCCGGUACAAUACCGAUGACCCCGAAACUUGUCCCGAUGGCCGAAACAGGACUUCCUAUAUAUAAAUCUUUACCUCCGGACCAUUCCGGAACUCCUCGUGACGUCCGGGAUCUCAUCCGAGACUCCGAACAACAUUCGGUAACCACAUACAAACUUCCUUUAUAACCCUAGCGUCAUCGAACCUUAAGUGUGUAGACCCUACGGGUUCGGGAGACAUGUAGUCAUGACCGAGAUGUUCUCCGGUCAAUAACCAACAGCGGGAUCUGGAUACCCAUGUUGGCUCCCACAUGUUCCACGAUGAUCUCAUCGGAUGAACCACGAUGUCAAGGACUCAAUCAAUCCCGUAUACAAUUCCCUUUGUCUAGCAGUAUGGUACUUGCCCGAGAUUCGAUCGUCGGUAUACCGAUACCUUGUUCAAUCUCGUUACCGGCAAGUCUCUUUACUCGUUCCGUAACACAUCAUCCCGUGAUCAACCCCUUGGUCACAUUGUGCACAUUAUGAUGAUGUCCUACCGAGUGGGCCCAGAGAUACCUCUCCGUUUACACGGAGUGACAAAAUCCCAAUCUCGAUUCGUGCCAACCCAACAGACACUUUCAGAGAUACCCGUAGUGUACCUUUAUAGCCACCCAAUUACGUUGUGACGUUUGGCACACCCAAAGCACUCCUACGGUAUCCGGGAGUUGCACAAUCUCAUGGUCUAAGGAAAUGAUACUUGACAUUGGAAAAGCUUUAGCAUACGAACUACAUGAUCUUGUGCUAGGCUUAGGAUUGGGUCUUGUCCAUCACAUCAUUCUCCUAAUGAUGUGAUCCCGUUAUCAACGACAUCCAAUGUCCAUGGUCAGGAAACCGUAACCAUCUAUUGAUUAACGAGCUAGUCAACUAGAGGCUUACUAGGGACAUGGUGUUGUCUAUGUAUCCACACAUGUAUCUGAGUUUCCUAUCAAUACAAUUCUAGCAUGGAUAAUAAACGAUUAUCAUGAACAAGGAAAUAUAAUAAUAAUCAAUUUAUUAUUGCCUCUAGGGCAUAUUUCCAACAGUCUCCCACUUGCACUAGAGUCAAUAAUCUAGUUCACAUCACCAUGUGAUUAACACUGACAGGUCACAUCACCAUGUGACCAACAUCCAAAGAGUCUUGGGUUUGAUCAUGUUGCUUGUGAGAGAGGUUAUAGUCAACGGGUCUGAACCUUUCAGAUCCGUGUGUGCUUUACAAAUCUCUAUGUCAUCUCCUAGAUGCAGCUACCACGUUCUAUUUGGAGCUAUUCCAAAUAAUUGUUCUACUUGAAGCUAUUCUAAAUUGUUGCUCCAUUAUACGUAUCCAGUAUCUCUACUCAGAGCUAUCCGGAUAGGUGUUAAGCUUGCAUCGACGUAACCCUUUACGACGAACUCUUUUACCACCUCCAUAAUUGAGAAAAUUCCUUAGUCCACUAGUUACUAAGGAUAUCUUUGACCGCUGUCCUGCGAUCCAUUCUUGGAUUACCCUUGUACCCCUUGACUGACUCAUGGUAAAGCACACUUCAGGUGCGGUACACAGCAUAGCAUACUGUAGAGCCUAUGUCUUAAGCAUAGGGGACGACCUUCGUUCCUUUCUCUCUAUUCUGCCAUGGUCGAGCUUUAAGUCUUAACUUCAUACCUUACAACUCAGGCAAGAACUCCUUCUUUGACUGGUCCAUCUUGAACACCUUCAAGAUCAUGUCAAGGUAUGUGCUCAUUUGAAAGUACUAUUAAGCAUUUUGAUCUAUCCUUAUAGAUCUUGAUGCUCAAUGUUCAAGUAGCUUAAUCCAGGUUUUCCAUUGAAAAACACUUUCCAAAUAACCCUAUAUGCUUUCCAGAAAUUCUACAUCAUUUCUGAUCAACAAUAUGUCAACAACAUAUACUUAUCAGAAAUUCUAUAGUGCUCCCACUCACUUCUUUGGAAAUACAAGUUUCUCAUAAACUUUGUAUACACCCAAAAUCUUUGAUCAUCAUCAAAGCAUACAUUCCAACUCCGAGAUGCUCACUCCAGUCCUUAGAAGGAUUGCUGGAGCUUUGCAUACUUAUUAGCAUCUUUUGGGAUUGACAAAACCUUCCGGUUGUACAACCUUUCCUCAAGUAUAACAUCGAGGAAACAAUGUUUUGACAUCCUAUCUGCAAGAUUUCAUAAAUAAUGCAGUAAUUGCUAAUAUAAUUCCAACAGACUCUUAGCAUCGCUAUGAGUGAGAAAGUCUCAUCGUAGUCAACUCCUUGAACUUGUCGGAAAAUAUCUUAACGACAAGUCGAGCUUUCUCAAUGGUGACACUUACCAUCAUUGUCUGUCUUCCUUUCAAAAUCCAUAUGUACCUAACAGCCUUACGACCAUCAAGUAGUUCUUCCAAAGUCUACACUUUGUUUUCAUACAUGGAUCCUCUCUCGGGUUUUAUGGCCUUGAGUCAUUUAUCGGAAUCCGGGCCCACCAUCGCUUCUCCAUAGCUCGUAGGUUCAUUGUUGUCUAGCAACAUGACUUCCAAGACAGGAUUACGUACCACUCUGAAGUAGUACGCAUCCUUGUCAUCCCACGAGGUUUGGUAGUGACUCGAUCCGAAGUUUCAUGAUCACUAUCAUAAGCUUCCACUUCAGUUGGUGUACGUGCCACAGGAACAACUUCCUGUGCCCUACUACACACUUGUUGAAGUGACGGUUCAAUAACCUCAUCAAGUCUCCACCAUCCUCCCACUCAACUUUUCGAGAGAAACCUUUCCUCGAAAAAGGACCCGAUUCAAGAAACAAUCCCUAUUGCUUUCGGAUCUGAAUUAGGAGGUAUACCCAACUAUUUUUGGGUGUCCUAUGAAGAUGCAUUUUAUCUGCUUUGGGUUCGAGCUUAUCAACCUGAAACCUUUUCACAUAAGUGUCGCAGCCCCAAACUUUCAAGAAACGGCAACUUAGGUUUCUCCAAACCAUAGUUCAUACGGUGUCGUCUCAACGAAAUUAUGUGGUGCCCUAUUUAAAGUGAAUGUGGUUGUCUCUAAUGCCUAACCCAUGAACGAUAGUGGUAACUCGAUAAGAGACAUCAUGGUAUGCACCAUAUCCAAUAGGGUGCAACUAUGACGUUUGGACACACCAUCACACUAUGGUGUUCCAGGCGGUAUUAAUUGUGAAACAAUUUCCACAAUGUCUUAAUUGUGUGCCAAAACUCGUAAUUCAGAUAUUCAUCUCUAUGAUCAUAUCAUAGAUCUUUUAUCCUCUUGUCACAAUGAUCUUUCAACUUCACACUGAAAUUACUUGAACCUUUCAAUAAUUCAGACUCGUGAUUCAUCAAGUAAAUAUACUCAACAUCUACUCGAAUCAUCUGUGAAGUAAGAACAUAACGAUAUUCACUGCAUGCCUCAGCACUCAUUGGACUGCACACAUCAAAAUGUGUUACUUCCAACAAGUUGCUAUCUUGUUCCAUCUUACUGAAAACGAGGCUUUUCAGUCAUCUUGCCCAUGUGGUAUGAUUUGCAUGUCCCAAGUGAUUCAAAAUCAAGUGAGUCAAAACGGUCCAUUUGCAUGGAGUUUCUUCAUGCAUAUACACCAAUAGACAUGGUUCGCAUGUCUCAAACUUUUCAAAAAUGAGUGAGCCCAAAGAUCCAUCAAUAUGGAGCUUCUUCAUGCGUUUUAUACCGAUAUGACUUACGUGGCAGUGCCACAAGUAGGUGGUACUAUCAUUACUAUCUUUUGGCAUGAACAUGUGUAUCACUACGAUCGAGAUUUAAUAAACCAUUCAUUUUAGGUGUAAGACCAUUGAAGGUAUUAUUCAAAUAAAUAGAGUAACCAUUAUUCUCCUUAAAUGAAUAACCGUAUUGCGAUAGACGUAAUCCAAUCAUGUCUAUGCUCAACGCAAACACCAAAUAACAAUUAUUUAGGUUUAACACCAAUCUCUUUGGUAGAGGGAGCGUGCGAUGCUUGAUCAUAUCAAGCUUGGAAAAACUUCCAACACAUAUCGUCAGCUCACCUUUAGCUAGUCUCCGUUUAUUCCGUAGCCUUUUGUUUCGAGUACUAACACUUAGCAACCGAACCGGUAUCUAAUACCCUGGUGCUACUAGGAGUACUAGCAAAGUACACAUUAACACAAUGUAUAUCCAAUAUACUUCUAUCGACCUUGCCAGCCUUCUUAUCUACCAAGUAUCUAGGGUAAUUCUGCUCUAGUGGUUGUUCCCCUUAUUACAGAAGCACUUAGUCUCGGGUUUGGGUUUUACCUUGGGUUUCUUCACUAGAGCAGCAGCUGAUUUGCCGUUUCAUGAAGUAUCCCUUCUUGCCCUUGCCCUUCUUGAAACUAGUGGUUUCACCAACCAUCAACAAUUGAUGCUCCUUCUUGAUUUCUACUUUCGCGGUGUCAAACAUCGCGAAUACCUCAAGGAUCAUCAUAUCUAUCCCUGAUAUGUUAUAGUUCAUCACGAAGCUCUAACAGCUUGGUGGCAAUGACUUUGGAGAACCAUCACUGUCUUAUCUGGAAGAUCAACUCCCACUCGAUUCAAAUGAUUGUUGUACUCAGACAAUCUGAGCACAAGCUCAACAAUUGAGCUUUUCUCCUUAGUUUGCAGGUUAAGAAAAUCGUCGGAGGUCUUAUACCUCUUGACGUGUGCACGAGCCUGAAAUCCCAAUUUCAGCCCUCGAAACAUCUCAUAUGUUUCGUGAUGUUUCAAAAACGUCUUUGGUGCCUCAACUCUAAACCGUUUAACUGAACUCUCACGUAGUUAUCAAAACGUGUAUGUCAGAUGUUCGCAACAACCACAGACAACGUUCGAGGUUCAGCACACUGAGCGGUGCAUUAAGGACAUAAGCCUUCUAUGAAGCAAUGAGGACAAUCCUCAGUUUACGGACCUAGUCCGCAUAAUUGCUACUAUCAACUUUCAACUAAUUUUUCUCUAGGAACAUAUCUAAACAGUAGAACUAUAGCGUGAGCUACGACAUAAUUUGCAAAAACCUUUUGACUAUGUUCAGGAUAAUUAAGUUCAUCUUAUGAACUCCCACUCAGAUAGACAUCCCUCUAGUCAUCUAAGUGAUUACAUGAUCCGAGUCAAACUAGGCCGUGUCCGAUCAUCACGUGAGACGGACUAGUCAUCAUCGGUGAACAUCUUCAUGUUGAUCGUAUCUUCUAUACGACUCAUGUUCGACCUUUCGGUCUCCGUGUUCCGAGGCCAUGUCUGUACAUGCUAGGCUCGUCAAGUUAACCCUAAGUGUUUCGCGUGUGUAAAUCUGUCUUACACCCGUUGUAUGUGAACGUUAGAAUCUAACACCCGAUCAUCACGUGGUGCUUCGAAAACACGAACUGUCGCAACGGUGCACAGUUAGGGGAGAACACUUCUUGAAAUUGUUGUAAGGGAUCAUCUUAUUUACUACCGUCGUUCUAAGCAAAUAAGAUGUAUAAACAUGAUAAACAUCACAUGCAAUCAAAUAGUGACAUGAUAUGGCCAUCAUCACUUUGCUCCUUUUGAUCUCCAUCUUCGGGGCUCCAUGAUCAUCAUCGUCACCGGCAUGACACCAUGAUCUCCAUCAUCAUGAUCUCCAUCAUCGUGUCUUCAUGAAGUUGCCUCGCCAACUAUUACUUCUACUACUAUGGCUAACGGUUAGCAAUAAAGUAAAGUAAUUACAUGACGUUUAAGUUGACACGCAGGUCACAAAUAAAUAAAGACAACUCCUAUGGCUCCUGCCGGUUGUCAUACUCAUCGACAUGCAAGUCGUGAUUCCUAUUACAAGAACAUGAUCAAUCUCAUACAUCACAUAUAUCAUUCAUCACAUCCUUUUUUGGCCAUAUCACAUCACAUAGCAUACCCUGCAAAAACAAGUUAGACGUCCUCUAAUUGUUGUUUGCAUGUUUUACGUGGCUGCUAUGGGUUUCUAGCAAGAACGUUUCUUACCUACGCAUGAACCACAACGUGAUAUGCCAAUUGCUAUUUACCCUUCAGAAGGACCCUUUUCAUCGAAUCCGAUCCGACUAAAGUGGGAGAGACAGACACCCGCCAGCCACCUUAUGCAACUAGUGCAUGUUUGUCGGUGGAACCGGUCUCACGUAAGUGUAUGUGUAAGGUUGGUCCGGGCCGCUUCAUCCCACGAUGCCGCCGAAUCAAGAUAAGACUAGUAACGGCAAGCAUAUUGAACAAUAUCGACGCCCACAACUACUUUGUGUUCUACUCGUGCAAAGAAUCUACGCAAUAGACCUAGCUCAUGAUGCCACUGUUGAGGAACGUAGCAGAAAUUCAAAAAAAUUUCCUACGUAACACCAAGAUCUAUCUAUGAAGAGACCAGCAAUGAGUAGAAAGGAGAGUGCAUCUACAUACCCUUGUAGAUCGCUAAGCGGAAGCGUUCAAGUGAACGGGGUUGAUGGAGUCGUACUCGUCGUGAUUCAGAUCACCGAUGAUCCUAGUGCCGAACGGACGGCACCUCCGCGUUCAACACACGUACAGCUCGACGAUGUCUCCCACGCCUUGAUCCAGCAAGGAGAGAGGGAGAGGUUGAGGAAGACUCCAUCCAGCAGCAGCACAAUGGCGUGGUGGUGAUGGAGGAGCGUGGCAAUCCUGCAGGGCUUCGCCAAGCACCUACGGGAGAGGAGGAGGUGUCACGGGAGGGAGGGAGGCGCCAAGGGCUCAGGUAUGGAUGCCCUCCCUCCCCUCCACUAUAUAUAGGGGCAGGGGAGAGGGGGGAGGCGCAGCCUUGCCCCUUCCUCCAAGGAAGGGGUGCGGCUAAGAGGGGGUGAGGAGUCCAUCCUCCCCAAGGCACCUCGGAGGUGCCUUCCCCCUUUAGGACUCUCCCCUUUUUCCUAUAUCUUGGCGCAUGGGCCUCUAGGGGCUGGUGCCCUUGGCCCAUGUAGGCCAAGGCGCACCCCCUACAGCCCAUGUGGCCCCCCCGGGGCAGGUGGCCCCACCCGGUGGGCCCCCGGGACCCUUCCGGUGGUCCCGGUACAAUACCGAUGACCCCGAAACUUGUCCCGAUGGCCAAAACAGGACUUCCUAUAUAUAAAUCUUUACCUCCGGACCAUUCCGGAACUCCUCGUGACGUCCGGGAUCUCAUCCAGGACUCCGAACAACAUUCGGUAACCACAUACAAACUUCCUUUAUAACCCUAGCGUCAUCGAACCUUAAGUGUGUAGACCCUACGGGUUCGGGAGACAUGUAGUCAUGACCGAGAUGUUCUCCGGUCAAUAACCAACAGCGGGAUCUGGAUACCCAUGUUGGCUCCCACAUGUUCCACGAUGAUCUCAUCGGAUGAACCACGAUGUCAAGGACUCAAUCAAUCCCGUAUACAAUUCCCUUUGUCUAGCGGUAUGGUACUUGCCCGAGAUUCGAUCGUCGGUAUACCGAUACCUUGUUCAAUCUCGUUACGGCAAGUCUCUUUACUCGUUCCGUAACACAUCAUCCCGUGAUCAACCCCUUGGUCACAUUGUGCACAUUAUGAUGAUGUCCUACCGAGUGGGCCCAGAGAUACCUCUCCGUUUACACGGAGUGACAAAAUCCCAAUCUCGAUUCGUGCCAACCCAACAGACACUUUCAGAGAUACCCGUAGUGUACCUUUAUAGCCACCCAGUUACGUUGUGACGUUUGGCACACCCAAAGCACUCCUACGGUAUCCGGGAGUUGCACAAUCUCAUGGUCUAAGGAAAUGAUACUUGACAUUAGAAAAGCUUUAGCAUACGAACUACAUGAUCUUGUGCUAGGCUUAGGAUUGGGUCUUGUCCAUCACAUCAUUCUCCUAAUGAUGUGAUCCCGUUAUCAACGACAUCCAAUGUCCAUGGUCAGGAAACCGUAACCAUCUAUUGAUUAACGAGCUAGUCAACUAGAGGCUUACUAGGGACAUGGUGUUGUCUAUGUAUCCACACAUGUAUCUGAGUUUCCUAUCAAUACAAUUCUAGCAUGGAUAAUAAACGAUUAUCAUGAACAAGGAAAUAUAAUAAUAAUCAAUUUAUUAUUGCCUCUAGGGCAUAUUUCCAACAUGAUGUGCUACUCGCACUCGUUAUACCUGGGGGCUUCUUUAACAGAAGCUUAUUUAUACGGGCUUCAUGCCCAACACAUGUGUCAUACUUCCGCAUGUACCUUUUACUCACCAUUAUAUGCAUCGAUAUGACUUAAGUUUUGGCCAAGCUGGGUUGCCUGGCUCCUGUGCUUACCCCUACAUUCCCGAUUGUUCGGCUAGGAGGUAAAGGGAGCACCUCUGCGAUUGUUACUGCCGGGUCAGCCGGAUGUGUACCUCAGACUUGGUGAAGCCGAAGGCUAGCGUUCUUAAGGGAAUAUUCGGUUGGUGACUUGAAAGAUGAUUUAUUACUUAUUUAUAUAUCUGCCCCUAGAUGCUUUUUCUGCUCUUUUCGUAGUUUGGACAUGCACUUUAGGGCAUGCCUCCCAGGGAAAGGAACCCCUAACGGAACUAUUCUCCCUGGAAGAUGUUUCUUACUAACCAUGUAAUAUAACAUAGCUAGUUGGGCACUUGUCUGAUAAAGCACUUAUGACCCCUACACCUGGUCUCCAUGCAUGCCCCGGUUUUUGUAUAACCGUGAGGGUAUUCGGACACACUCCGGACUGUUGGGUCCCGAGGUUAAAGCGAAAAGGUCCGCAAAGACAAACGAUCUACAAUCCGGCUAGAAGGCAUUUUACAUGUCAUUUUAAAUUACAUCGUCAAACUGACUGAUUGUACUCCUCUUCAAUCCCAUCUAACAGGCUGUCUAGUUUACAGUCCCGUUGGGAAUAUUUCGCGGCCAACUCUACUUGGCCGUACAUCAGGCUCACAGGGAUCUCCUUCCCAUCAGGCUCCACAGGUCCGACCUCGGCCAUGUGGUUUGGAUCAGCCUUGGUGUACCGCGUCUUCACCAUGGCCCAGGCCUCCCUGGCGCCUUGACGGUAGGCCGAUAUCUUCCACAGAUGGAAGCGCUGCCGUACUCCCUGAAGCUUCUCAGCAAGCCCUCCAAGACCCUUGGGUAGGGAGACGGACGGCCAUAAGGCCUGAAUGACGCCGCUCAUCGCCUGUCGGACAUGUUCGUGCAGUUGCAGCAGCUCAGGAAGAAGGUCACCCGUGGAACCAGGCAUUUCCUCCGCUGGACGACCCGUGAGCACACCUACAGACACAUUUCUGUCAAUCGACUUCCUCGCCGAACUCUUCUUUUCAAAAGAGUUUGCUCAAGCACUUACUGUAAAUGCCGCGACGAAGCCGCCGAUUCUCCUUUACGGAGUUAGACAGCUGGACCCGAACAUCGUUUAGCUCUUCGCCCAGCUGGGUGUUGGCAUCUUGGAGUUUGUUCCUCUCCUGAUGCACCCUCAUAAGCACCUUCUCACCGGCCUUCAGCUGGCGCAGCAGAUGUUGCUUGUCCGGAUCUAGUCUGGCACCCUCUGCAAUAUUAUUGUCAGACUAAACGCACACGCCGCACUUCAUAAACUACUUAUCUUUUCGAAAUAUGUAUUACUAGAGGGGGUCUCUGUGGCUCCCCCGGCGGCGACUAGUGCGGCCUCAAGUUGGGCCUUGCAUUCUUGAAGCUCCUGGGACAGGUGGGUAUUCUUCUCCGUAAGAUCCUGCAUAACAAAUGAUCCUUAAAUCAGUUAGUUUAACUAUUUUAAGUCUCGGGGGCUACUGGCAUAUAUAACUAUUAAAAUUCCUCGCCCGUAUGUCUUUCACAUACUGCUCCGUGGCUCUGGUUAAACCAUCUUGAGCAGCACGGAGGUGCGCAUCUCCCGCAUUAAAGGCAUUCAACGCCUCUGGGGAGAAACACGCGUCACGAAGAACUGUCCGGCGACGCCUGUGAUUCAUGGCGCUCUCCACCUCAGACCUGGUAGUGGACAGCCUGUUGGCAUCCUCUGUUGGAGGAGCAUCCGGCUCGCGCCUUGCGCUCGCCUCCCCCUCCGGACCAGGUGUUGGAGCCUGGCUGGCGGAGGCUUGGUUGGCAACCUCUCCGGGCACAGUCCGGCGAGCGCUCUUUCUCCUGGAAGAAUCAUGAGCAUUAAUAUACCUCCCAGGAGUCUUUCCCUUAAAGACACUGGUGCGCCAUACCUUUGCGGCGACAUUUCGAUUCGCGCCGCACUCCUUUUCCGCCUGCUGGGCCGCACUGACCCUGGUUGGUCAGUCGCCGCGGGCUCGGCUUCCCGCCGUAAAGGCACCUCCUGCGAAGCACCAUUGGUAUACGGUGGUCAGAAAUAAGCAUUAAAAAAGUAAUGGUGUCAGGACUUCGGUCGUACUCACCUGGGAAGCCGGAGAUAAACCGGGGUAGUCAGCCGUAAUGGCGACUAGAGCAUUGUCUAUGCUGAGUUGGUGGAACACCCCGUCAAUCAGUUCCACCUUUAUGUCCGGAUCCUCUUCGGAGGCCGGAUCAAGGGAUCUUCCCGGAUCCUAGGGUUGUGGAGUCGGGCUUUGUAUGCCCUCCACAUCCCGGCGCAGUUCCUGCGUCGAAAUCAUAAAGUAAGACACUUAACUUUAAAAGUACGGAUCGGAUAUAUAAACGUCCGCUUACCCAGCUCCGAGGGUUAUUCAUGGAGAAUCCAUUCAAUGGACUCGUGCGGAGGAAGUCCUCCUUCUCCCCCUUGUACAAGCCGGACAGGAUCUUCACCAGAUCGGCGGUCGAUCCCGGCCCCUUGCGGCCAUGACGGGUGGCGUCAUUUUCCCCGUUGAAAUCCCACAUGGGGUGGCCCCUAUAUUGGAGCGGUUGCACCCCUCGCAUAAUGCAUGUGGCCAUGACUCCAAUCAUGGUCAAUCCGGAAUGGGCCAGUAACCUUAUCCGGCCCAUCAGAUAUUGGACGCUCCUAUCAUCUUCCCGUUGAGGGAUCCGCGGGCGCCAACUUAGGCGUUUCUUCAGAGGAGCGUUGCUAUACUCCGGGAGGCCGAUCUGAACUGGAUCCGGCAGCGGGGCGUCUUCCAUAUAGAACCAUUCCGAAGGCCAGUCUUCGGACGCCUUCUUCGGGGUUCCGGAUAGAUAUCCAGUCCCGGCGAUGCGCCAUAUUUCGGCUCCGCCCACUUGAUAUAUCGACCCCUCGUGAGAAUGGGGUACGAGGCAAAACAAUCUCUUCCACAGCACAAAAUGGGGCUCGAUGCCCAAGAACAGCUUGCAAAGAGCUACAAAGCCCGCGAUGUGCAAGAUGGAGGCAGGUGUGAGGUGGUGAAGUUGGAGUCCAUAGAACUCCAGGAGCCCCCGGAGAAACGGAUGUAUGGGAAAUCCGAGUCCCCUUAUUAGGUAGGGGACGAAGCAUACCCGCUCUCCUUUGGAUGGAUUGGGGACGCUCUCUGCCUGCUUCCCACCCUUGUAGGUGGCCAGUCCGGCUCGAACCGGAACCAUAAAGGCUGGGGGAAGGUAUCCCUCUGCUUGGAGCGUCACUAACUCGCUAUGCGGGACUGAACAUCUCCUCCAAUCUCCUGGCUGAGGACUGGGAGCGCGAGAGGAGGAGCCGCGUCAACUGUCCAUGUUGGAAUGGAUUUUUGUCAGAUGCGCUUCGAUUAGUACUUGCAGAAGGAGGAUGGUGUGAUUCAGAUCUGGGUCCUUGCCUCUCUUAUAGGUUGCUUAUUCGUGCAGCUAGGGGGUAAAACGUAAACAUACCCUGGCUUUUCGCAUUCAUACGACACAUGGAAGAGGGCCAUUAUUGGACGUAGAAGCCAAGGAGCGCAACAUUUAUAAGGAAACCGGACACUAUUCGGCAAACACAUGGAAUAUGGAGGAGAACCCGCCUUGCAAACGCCAAAGACAAUAUACGCGCCAGACUCGUCGUCAUUGAAGCCUGGUUCAGGGGCUACUGAGGGAGUCCUGGACUAGGGGGUGUCCGGAUAGCCGAACUAUCAUCAUCGGCUGGACACCAAGACUAUGAAGAUACAAGAUUAAAGACUCCGUCCCGUGUCCGGAUGGGACUUUCCUUGGCGUGGAAGGCAAGCUUGGCGAUACGCAUAUGUAGAUCUCCUACCAUUGUAACCGACUCUGUGUAACCCUAGCCCUCUCCGGUGUCUAUAUAAACCGGAUGGUUUUAGUACGUAGGACGAACAACAAUCAUACCAUAGUCUAGAUUCUAGGGUUUAGCCUCCUUGAUCUCGUGGUAGAUCUACUCUUGUAAUACCCACAUCAUCAAUAUCAAUCAAGCAGGACGUAGGGUUUUACCUCCAUCAAGAGGGCCCGAACCUGGGUAAAGCAUCGUGUCCCUUGUCUCCUGUUACCAUCCGCCUAGACGCACAGUUCGGGACCCCCUACCCGAGAUCCGCUGGUUUUGACACCGACAGUCGUCAUCAUCAACCAUCCUCCAUCACCAAUUUCAUGAUGCUCACCGUCGUGCGUGAGUAAUUCCAUCGUAGGCUUGCUGGACGGUGAUGGGUUGGAUGAGAUUUACCAUGUAAUCAAGUUAGUUUUGUUAGGGUUUGAUCCCUAGUAUCCACUAUGUUCUGAGAUUGAUGUUGCUAUGACUUUGCUAUGCUUAAUGCUUGUUACUAGGGCCUGAGUGCCAUGAUUUCAGAUCUGAACCUAUUAUGUUUUCAUGAAUAUAUGUGAGUUCUUGAUCCUAUCUUGCAAGUCUAUAGUCACCUAUUAUGUGUUAUGAUCCGACAACCCCGAAGUGACAAUAAUUGGGAUACUUCUCGGUGAUGACCGUAGUUUGAGGAGUUCAUGUAUUCACUAUGUGUUAAUGCUUUGGUCCGGUACUCUAUUAAAAGGAGGCCUUAAUAUCCCUUAGUUUCCACUAGGACCCCGCUGCCACGGGAGGGUAGGACAAAAGAUGCCAUGCAAGUUCUUUUCCAUAAGCAUGUAUGACUAUAUUCGGAAUACAUGCCUACAUUACAUUGCUGAACUGGAGCUAGUUCUGUGUCACCCUAUGUUAUAGCUAUUACAUGAGGAAUCGCAUCCGACAUAAUUAUCCAUCAUUGAUCCAACGCCUACGAGCUUUUCACAUAUUGUUCUUCGCUAUUUACUUUUCCGUUGCUACUGUUACGAUUACUACAAAACUGCUAUCUUUACUUUUGCCACUGUUACCAAUACUAUCAUACUACUUUGCUACUAAAUACCAUGCUGCAGAUACUAAGUUAUACAGGUGUGGUUGAAUUGACAACUCAACUGCUAAUACUUGAGAAUAUUCUUUGGCUCCCCUUGUGUCGAAUCAAUAAAUUUAGGUUGAAUACUCUACCCUGAAAGCUGUUGCGAUCCCCUAUACUUGUGGGUUAUCAAUGCGUAAGUAAGAAUGGUUCUUGCUCAGCCCGUAGCAGCCACAUAAAACUUGCAACAACAAAGUAGAGGACGUCUAAAUUGUUUUUGUAGGGCAUGUUGUGAUGUGAUAUGGUCAAGGCAUGGUGCUAUAUUUUAUUGUAUGAGAUGAUCAUGUUUUGUAACCGAGUUAUCGGCAACUGGCAGGAGCCAUAUGGUUGUCGCUUUAUUGUAUGCAAUGCAAUCACCGGUAAUUGCUUUACUUUAUCACUAAGCAGUAGCGAUAGUCAUAGAAGAAAUAGUUGGCAAGACGACAAUGAUACUAUGAUGGAGAUCAAGGUGUCGCGCCGGUGACGAUGGUGAUCAUGACGGUGCUUCAGAGAUGGAGAUCACAAGCACAAGAUGAUGAUGGCCAUAUCAUAUCACUUAUAUUGAUUGCAUGUGAUGUUUAUCAUUUAUGCAUCUUAUCUUGCUUUGAUUGACGGUAGCAUUAUAAGAUGAUCUCUCACUAAAUUUCAAGAUAAAGUGUUCUCCCUGAGUAUGCAUCGUUGCCAAAGUUCGUCGUGCCCAGACACCACAUGAUGAUCAGGUGUGAUAAGCUCUACGUCCAUUUACAACGGGUGCAAGCCAGUUUUGCACAUGCAGAAUACUCGGGUUAAACUUGACGAGCCUAGCAUAUGCAGAUAUGGCCUCGGAACACUAAGACCGAAAGGUCAAGCAUGAAUCAUAUAGUAGAUAUGAUCAACAUAGUGAUGUUCACCAUUGAAAACUACUCCAUCUCACGUGAUGAUCGGACAUGGUUUAGUUGAUUUGGAUCACGUGAUCACUUAGAUGAUUAGAGGGAUGUCUAUCUAAGUAGGAGUUCUUAAGUAAUAUGAUUAAUUGAACUUUAAUUUAUCAUGAACUUAGUCCUGAUAGAAUUUUGCAAAAAUGGUGUAGAUCAAUAGCUCGUGUUAUUGCUUCCCUAUAUUUUAUAUGUGUUCCUAGAGAAAAUUAAGUUGAAAGAUGAUAGUAGCAAUGAUGCGGACUGGGUCCGUGAUCUGAGGUUUAUCCUCAUUGCUGCACAGAAGAAUUAUGUCCUUGAUGCACCGCUAGGUGACAGACCUAUUGCAGGAGCAGAUGCAGACGUUAUGAACGUUUGGCUAGCUCAAUAUGAUGAUUACUUGAUAGUUUAGUGCACCAUGCUUAACAGCUUAGAAUCGGGACUUCAGAGACGUUUUGAACGUCAUGGACCAUACCAGAUGUUCCAGGAGUUGAAGUUAAUAUUUCAAGCAAAUACCCGAGUUGAGAGAUAUGAAGUCUCCAACAAGUUCUAUAGCUAAAAGAUGGAGGAGAAUUGCUCAACUAGUGAUCAUGUGCUCAGAUUGUCUGGGUACUACAAUCGCUUGAAUCAAGUGGGAGUUAAUCUUCCAGAUAAGAUAGUGAUUAACAGAGUUCUCUAGUUACCAUCACCAAGUUACUGGAACUUCGUGAUGAACUAUAGUAUGCAAGGGAUGACGAAACGUUUCCCGAGCUUUUCAUGAUGAUGAAAUCGAUGAAGGUAGAUAUCAAGAAAGAGCAUCAAGUGUUGAUGAUUAACAAGACCACUAGUUUCAAUAAAAGGGCAAAGGGAAAGAAAGGGAACUUCAAGUAGAAUGGCAAGCAAGUUGUCACUACCUUGAAAGAUCCCAAAGCUAGACCAAAGCCUGAAACUGAGUGUUUCUACUGCAAAGGAAAUGGUCACUAGAAGAGGAAAUAUCCUGAAUAUUUGGUAGAUAAGAAGGAUGGCAAAGUGAACAAGGGUAUAUUUGAUAUACAGGUUAUUGAUGUGUACCUUACUAGUGUUUAUAGUAACCCCUAGGUAUUUGAUACUUGUUCGGUUGCUAAAUAUUAGUAACUCAAAACAAGAGUUACAGAAUAAAUAGAGACUAGUUGAGGGUGAAGUGACGAUGUGUGUUGGAAGUAGUUCCAAGAUUGAUAUGAUCAUCAUCGCACACUCCCUAUACUUUCGAGAUUAGUGUUGAACCUAAAUAAAUAUUAUUUGGCGUUUGCGUUGAGCAUGAAUAUGAUUUAAUCAUGUUUAUUGCAAUACGGUUAUUCAUUUAAAGUCGGAGAAUAACUGUUGUUCUGUUUACAUGAAUAAAACCUUCGAUGGUCAUACACCCAAUGAAAAUAGUUUGUUGGAUCUCGACCGUAGUGAUACACAUAUUCAUAAUAUUGAUGCCAAAAGAUGCAAAGUUGAUAAUGAUAGUGCAACUUAUUUGUGGCACUGCCGUUUGGGUCAUAUUGGUGUAAAACGCAUGAAGAAACUCCAUACUGAUGGAAUUUUGGAAUCACUUGAUUAUGAAUCACUUGGUACUUGCGAACCAUGCCUCAUGGGAAAGAUGACUAAAACGGUGUUCUCCGGAACUAUGAAGCGAGCAACUGAUUUGUUGGAAAUCAUACAUACUGAUGUAUGUGGUCCAAUGAAUGUUGAGCCUCGUGGCGGGUAUCGUUAUUUUCUGACCUUCACAGAUGAUUUGAGCAGAUAUGUGUAUAUCUACUUAAUGAAACACAAGUCUGAAACAUUUGAAAAGUUUAAAGAAUUUUAGAGUGAAGUGGAGAAUCGUCGUAACAAGAAAAUAAAGUUUCUAUGAUCUGAUCGUGGAGGAGAAUAUUUGAGUUACGAGUUUGGCCUUCAUUUAAAAACAAUGUGGAAUAGUUUCACAGCUCACGCCACAUGGAACAGCACAGCAUAAUGGUGUGUCCGAAUGUCGUAACCGCACUUUAUUGGAUAUGUUACGAUCUAUGAUGUAUCUUACCGAUUUAUCACUAUCGUUUUGGGGUUAUGCAUUAGAGACAGCUGGAUUCACUUUAAAUAGGGCACCAUCAAAAUCCGUUGAGAUGACGCCUUAUGAACUGUGGUUUGGCAAGAAACCAAAGUUGUCAUUUCUUAAAGUUUGGGGCUAAGAUGCUUAUGUGAAAAAGUUUCAACCUGAUAAGCUCGAACCCAAAUCGGAAAAGUGCGUCUUCAUAGAAUACCCAAAGGAAACUGUUGGGUACACCUUCUACCACAGAUCUGAAGGCAAGAUAUUCGUUGAUAAGAUGGAUCCUUUCUAGAGAAGGAGUUUCUCUCGAAAUAAGUGAGUGGGAGGAAAGUAGAACUUGAUGAGGUAACUAUGCCUGCUCCCUUAUUGGAAAGUAGUUCAUCACAGAGAUCAGUUCAUGUGAUUCCUACACCAAUUAGUGAGGAAGCUAAUGAUGAUGAUCAUGAAACUUCAGAUUAAGUUACUACAGAACCUCGUAGGUCUUCCAAAGUAUAGUACGCACCAGAGUGGUACGGUAAUCCUGUUCUGGAAGUCAUGUUACUAGACCAUGAUGAACCUACGAACUAUAAGGAAGCGAUGAUGAGCCCAGAUUCCGCGAAAUGGCUUGAAUGCCGUGAAAUCUGAGAUGGGAUCCAUGUAUGAGAACAAAGUGUGGACUUUGGUGGACUUGCCCGAUGAUCGGCAAGCCAUAGAAAAUAAAUGGAUCUUCAAGAGGAAGAUAGACGCUGAUAGUAGUGUUACUAUCUACAAAGCUCGACUUGUCAUAAAAAUUUUUUUAACAAGUUCAAGGUGUUGAAUACAAUGAGAUUUUCUCACUCAUAUCAAUGCUUAAGUCUGUCCGAAUCAUGUUAGCAAUUACCACCUUUUAUGAAAUCUGGCAAAUGGAUAUAAAAACUGCAUUCCUUAAAUGGAUAUUUCUUAAAGAAGAGUUGUAUAUGAUGCAACCAGAAGGUUUUGUCGAUCCAAAGAGUGCUAACAAAAGUGUGCAAGCUCCAGUAAUCCAUCUAUGGACUGGUGCAAGCAUCUCGGAGUUGGAAUAUACGCUUUGGUAGUGUGAUCAAAGCAUAUGAUUUUAUACAAAUUUUUUAGAAGCAUGUAUUUAUAAGAAAGUGAGUGGGAGCACUACAGCAUUUCUGAUAAGUAUAUGUGAAUGACAUAUUAUUGAUCGGAAAUAAUGUAGAAUUUUUCUAGAAAGCAUAAAGGAGUGUUUGAAAGGAGUUUUUUCAAAGAAAGACCUCGGUGAAGCUACUUACACAUUGAGCAUCAAGAUCUAUAGAGAUAGAUCAAGACGAUUGAUAAGAUUUUUCAAUGAGUACAUACGUUGAUAAGAUUUUGAAGUAGUUCAAAAUAGAACAGUCAAAGAAGGAGUUCUUGCCUGUGUUGCAAGGUGUGAAGUUGAGUAAGACUCAAAACCCGACCAUGGCAGAAAAUAGAAAGAGAAUGAAAAGUCAUUCCCUAUGCCUCAGUCAUAGGUUCUAUAAAAUAUGCUAUGCUGUGUACCAGAUCUAUUGUAUACCCUACACUGAGUUUGGCAAGGGUGUACAAUAGUGAUCUAGGAGUAGAUCACUGGACAGCGGUCAAAAUUAUCCUUAGUAAGGACUAAGUAUUAUGGAGGUGAUAAAAGAGUUCAUCGUAAAGAGUUACAUCGGUGCAAGCUUUUACACCAAUCCAGAUGACUCUAAGUCUCAAUCUGGAUACAUAUUGAAAGUGGGAGCAAUUAGCUAGAGUAGCUCCGUGCAGAGCAUUGUAGACAUAGAAUAUUUGCAAAAUACAUACGGCUCUNNNNNNNNNNNNNNNNNNNNNNNNNNNNNNNNNNNNNNNNNNNNNNNNNNNNNNNNNNNNNNNNNNNNNNNNNNNNNNNNNNNNNNNNNNNNNNNNNNNNNNNNNNNNNNNNNNNNNNNNNNNNNNNNNNNNNNNNNNNNNNNNNNNNNNNNNNNNNNNNNNNNNNNNNNNNNNNNNNNNNNNNNNNNNNNNNNNNNNNNNNNNNNNNNNNNNNNNNNNNNNNNNNNNNNNNNNNNNNNNNNNNNNNNNNNNNNNNAAUAUGACAGACCCGUUGACUAAACUUCUCUCACGAGCAAAACAUGAUCAUACCUUAGUACUCUUUGGGUGUUAAUCACAUAGCAAUGUGAACUAGAUUAUUGACUCUAGUAAACCCUUCAGGUGUUGGUCACAUGAUGAUGUGAACUAUGGGUGUUAAUCACAUACAGAUGUGAAUAUUGGUGUUAAAUCACAUGGUGAUGUGAACUAGAUUAUUGACUCUAGUGCAAGUGGGAGACUAAAGGAAAUAUGCCCUAGAGGCAAUAAUAAAGUUAUUAUUUAUUUCCUUAUUUCAUGAUAAAUGUUUAUUAUUCAUGCUAGAAUUGUAUUAACCGGAAACAUAAUACAUGUGUGAAUACAUAGACAAACAUAGUGUCACUAGUAUGCCUCUACUUGACUAACUCGUUGAUCAAAGAUGGUUAUGUUUCCUAGCCAUAGACAAAGAGUUGUCAUUUGAUUAACAGGAUCACAUGAUUAGGAGAAUGAUGUGAUUGACUUGACCCAUUCCAUUAGCUUAGCACUUGCUCGUUUAGUAUGUUGCUAUUGCUUUCUUCAUGACUUAUACAUGUUCCUAUGACUAUGAGAUUAUGCAACUCCCAUUUACCGGAGGAACACUUUGUGUGCUACCAAAUGUCACAACGUAACUGGGUGAUUAUAAAGGUGCUCUAUAGGUGUCUCCGAAGGUACUUGUUGGGUUGGCGUAUUUCGAGGUUGGGAUUUGUCACUCCGAUUAUCGGAGAGGUAUCUCUGGGCCCACUCGGUAAUGCACAUCACUAUAAGCAUAGCAAGAAUUGCAACUAAUAAGUUAUUUGCGGAAUGAUGUAUUACGGAACGAGUAAAGAGACUUGUUGGUAACGAGAUUGAACUAGGUAUUGAGAUACCGACGAUCGAAUCUCGGCCAAGUAACAUAUCGAUGACAAAGGGAACAACUUAUGUUGUUAUGCGAUUUGACCGAUAAAGAUCUUCGUAGAAUAUGUGGCAGACAAUAUGAGCAUCCAGGUUCCGCUAUUGGUUAUUAACCGGAGACGUGUCUCGGUCAUGUCUACAUAGUUCUCGAACCCGUAGGGUCCGCACGCUUAAAAUUCGAUGACGGUUAUAUUAUGAGUUUAUGUGUUUUGAUGUACCGAAGGUAGUUCGGAGUCCCGGAUGUGAUCACGGACAUGAUGAGGAGUUUCGAAAUGGUCGAGAUAUAAAGAUUGAUAUAUUGGACGACUAUGUUCUGACACUGGAAUGGUUUCGGGGAGUAUUGGGCAUAUACCGGAGUACCAGGGGGUUACCGGAACUCCCCGGGGAGACAAAUGAGCCUAUUGGGCCCUAGUGGAGAAGAGGAGGGGCGACCAAAGGGCAGCCGCGCGCGCCCUCCCCCCCCCCCUCCCCCCAGUCCGAAUUGGACAAGGAGGGGGGCGGCGCCCCCCUUUCCUUUCCCCCUCUCUCUCCUUCCCUCUCCUCUCCUACUCCCACUUGGAAGGGGGGAGUCCUACUCCCGGUGGGAGUAGGACUCCUCAUGGGGCGCGCCUAGGGUGGCCGGGCCCCUCCCCCUCCUCCACUCCUUUAUAUACGGGGAGGGAGGCACCCCUUAGAGACACAACAAUUGAUCCAUUGGAUCUCUUAGCCGUGUGUGGUGCCCCCCUCCACCAUAAUCCACCUCGAUAAUAUCGUAGCAAUGCUUAGGCGAAGCCCUGCGUCGGUAGAACAUCAUCAUCGUCACCACGCUGUCGUGUUGACGGAACUCUCCCUCAAAGCUCGGCUGGAUCGGAGUUCGAGGGACGUCAUCGAGUUGAACGUGUGCUGAACUCGGAGCUGCCGUGCGUUCGGAACUUGAUUGGUCGGAUCGUGAAGACAUACGACUACAUCAACUGCGUUGUGCUAACACUUCCGCUUUCGGUCUACAAGGGUACGUGGACACACUCUCCCCUCUCGUUGCUAUACAUCACCAUGAUCUUGCGUGUGCGUAGGAAAUUUUUUGAAAUUAAUACGUUCCCCAAUAGGUUCUUUGGCCCUGUGGUAUUUAUAGGGCAUCCACACCGUGUGACUCUUCCAAUAAUUAAAGUUUGGCUUUAUCUCUUUCACCCAACUGCCCUUAAUGGUAGUCAAUUAGAAGUUAUAGAGACAUCUCAGUAUACAAUCACACUGAGAUGUACUAGCAUACUCCUUUAGAGAAAGUGCAAUAGCAGGCUUAUAAUCCGCUUAGAGCAUCUACAGUCGGACCCCGUAAACAUCCGCAGAUGUGCCCGGAUGCGUCCACGGACAGUGAUCGGUCUUCCUUCACAACUACGCUUUCACGGCAUGUACCNNNNNNNNNNNNNNNNNNNNNNNNNNNNNNNNNNNNNNNNNNNNNNNNNNNNNNNNNNNNNNNNNNNNNNNNNNNNNNNNNNNNNNNNNNNNNNNNNNNNNNNNNNNNNNNNNNNNNNNNNNNNNNNNCACACACACAAAACUAUGGUAUAUGUGCAACGUGAGAGAAACUGCAUAGAUCAACGUAUGAAACAUAGCAACAAAAGAGACAUAGAUUCACAGUUCAUAUGGACAUAGCGUCACAUUUCAUCGGACCAAAUAGACAGUAGAUUCAUACUAAAGAUUAACUAAAUACUAAUCAGAGAAGGACAUGGGCAUCGGAAGUCACCAUUUCCUCUCCGGCCCCUUUCCCUUGCGGUUACCGGUGCGGCUGCAGCCCUCCGUGUAGGCAACGACAGUGGGAAGGGUGCCGUCGGACCAGGAGGAGAUGAUGAAAAGUUGCAAAGUAGAAGAGGCUGAGAGAAGAAUCACAGGACAGAGAAAUAUGUGAACUUUUGUUGUACCAGCAGGAUGAGCAAGAGAGGCAGAGGAGGUUCAAUGAGUAUUUGCAAAUGAAGGAGCAGGACAGACAACAUGCAUGGGAGGCAAAAAUGCAAGUUGGGCAAGGGAACAUGGAAGAAGCUGAAUUACAGAACAUGGACCAAACAGAGGACCUUGGGAACCUUGCUUGGGUUGCGGAACCACGUGCCCAUGACGAGCUUGCACUUGUCCUCCGGCGGCCUCAUGUUGAUGAGCUUGUCGCCUAGCUUGUCAGGAGCGUGUUCACGGCCUCUGGCUCGCACGCCUCCUGGAGUACCCUUUCGAAGCUCAUUGUGGUCUUGUACGGUAGCUCGUCGGGAGUACUCUGCAUCGCGCGGUGCCAGAGAACGAACUGGAUCCAGGAGCCAGCGUGCUUCACCUACAUUGGCGAUUCGAGCAUGCGUGUGCACAUCGCCUCCUCCUUGAAGGUGGGCCAAAGGUCAUGCUGAGGGUUGGUGUCCUUGAUGCACAUCUGUGCGGGCAAGAUGGAAGUUUUAUUUUCCAGGACAUCAAGUAUGGCCUUCGCCGUUAGCCCAGUGAUGCGAUCUCCAACGGCGACUGCCAAUAAUACCCGACUGUGGUACUGAGCCUCCAAUGCAUCCAUCCACGGCGUGCACUAGAAGAGAACAUAGCCGGAAUCCGGUCGGAGUUCUGGCUCCCCGCGCCGCCACACCUCCUGCGUGAACUUCCUCCCAGCCCACCAGUGCGGGUUCGCACGGCUUUGUCCACCGGCUCACACCGGCUUAGCGGGAGGGCAACGACAGUGCUACCGCUGGUAGCAGAGAUCUCGCUGCCAUUCAUGUAUAUGGGGAGGGGGAUUGGGAGGGGGAAGAGGGAAAGAACGGCUGGGGAUGGGGAUUGAGGAUUUAGGACAGAGACAGCUGGAGUGGAGCGCGGGUUGGUUUUCAGAAACGGCAGGGGUGUGACCGUAAAAAGAUNNNNNNNNNNNNNNNNNNNNNNNNNNNNNNNNNNNNNNNNNNNNNNNNNNNNNNNNNNNNNNNNNNNNNNNNNNNNNNNNNNNNNNNNNNNNNNNNNNNNNNNNNNNNNNNNNNNNNNNNNNNNNNNNNNNNNNNNNNNNNNNNNNNNNNNNNNNNNNNNNNNNNNNNNNNNNNNNNNNNNNNNNNNNNNNNNNNNNNNNNNNNNNNNNNNNNNNNNNNNNNNNNNNNNNNNNNNNNNNNNNNNNNNNNNNNNNNNNNNNNNNNNNNNNNNNNNNNNNNNNNNNNNNNNNNNNNNNNNNNNNNNNNNNNNNNNNNNNNNNNNNNNNNNNNNNNNNNNNNNNNNNNNNNNNNNNNNNNNNNNNNNNNNNNNNNNNNNNNNNNNNNNNNNNNNNNNNNNNNNNNNNNNNNNNNNNNNNNNNNNNNNNNNNNNNNNNNNNNNNNNNNNNNNNNNNNNNNNNNNNNNNNNNNNNNNNNNNNNNNNNNNNNNNNNNNNNNNNNNNNNNNNNNNNNNNNNNNNNNNNNNNNNNNNNNNNNNNNNNNNNNNNNNNNNNNNNNNNNNNNNNNNNNNNNNNNNNNNNNNNNNNNNNNNNNNNNNNNNNNNNNNNNNNNNNNNNNNNNNNNNNNNNNNNNNNNNNNNNNNNNNNNNNNNNNNNNNNNNNNNNNNNNNNNNNNNNNNNNNNNNNNNNNNNNNNNNNNNNNNNNNNUAGAGAUAUGGAUCACAUCGAGUCCAACGAACCAUAGAGGGUCUUGCACUAUUUUUUGCUUACCGAAUGGGAUGAAACCGCUGGCACACAAAUUCCAGAUGUAUCCCAAACCUAACUGCCAAUGUAUUGAGAAUUGAGAUGGGCGUUAAAAGAUUUUGAUAUAUACGACGAGUACAUUGUAAGGCCAUGUCUUAGCUUGUGUAUGGUAUGGUUCUUCGGCCCUGUGGUAUUUAUAAUCGGGUAUCCAUACUGUAUGACUCGGAAUAAUUAAAGUUCAGCUUUAUCUCUUUCACCCACCUGCACUUAAUAGUAGUCAAUUACAAGUUAUAGAGCCAGCUCACUACACGAUAUCAUAUACUCCUAUUGUACUUGCUCUAAAGGAGUAUGCUAGUACAUCUCAGCCAAAAUGGAGAUUCCAGUAAUAACAACGACAAUUCAGCACCUAAUUACUACUUGUUCAACAGAACAUCAAAGGUUCAGCUAGCAAGUUAAAACUGACAAUGAAACACAGAGGCAACAUUCUGCACCCCAAGACCAAAUUAUUUUGCACAUGGUGUGCAGUUUUAUCCUCUUGAACUGAUUUAGCAGGGCAACCCUCGCAACAUUUGUUCGUUGCCUUGAUGCUGCACCAUGACCAAUGCAGUAGCUGAUACUCAGGUACACAUAAUAAACUAACUUGCAUCUUCAUUAAGUAAGUCUGUGCCACACGCAUAUCAGAAGAUUUAUUUAGCUCUUCCUAAGCCCAACUCAUAGCAAUUGCCCCAUGAUAACUAACACAACUAUUGGUCCCAAAAACGAGUCAGCAAAUUUUGAUGUAGCUCCUCUCAGUUUAUUCCGCUUGAUCCUACCGCCCGCCAAGCGAGACAUGAAAAAGGUCGGCCAAUCCAUCUGUAAUGGGUUAGCAUCGUGACAAUGCCGCAAAACCAGUCAGUGACAGUCUCCAUCGCCCAGGUUGGAGAUCUACAAUGUACACACAAUCUUGAUUUCGGUACUAAAAUAAUUGUCUAACUUCAAGCCAAGCUGUUUUGGCAAUUACAGUAGUACAUGCAAAUUCAAAUACUUCUCAAAUUAUUUUUAAAAUUUUCAUAUCCCAAACAAAUUUUGCUGGAAGUUUUGGCUGAAAUUAGUGAAAACAAAAAUCACAAAAAUUCAAUGAAAAAUAGGUGAUUUUGCCUAUGGACUAAACAGUUCUGAAACUUAAAUGCAAAACCAUGGCUAGCACUAGCUCUUCACAUUUAGGUGAAGGCUUCUUCUCAUGUAUGCCAUAUUAAUUAGCUGGAUGACCUUCUAUGAAGGAUGGAAAUAUUCGGUUGGUCCAUGCAAAGGGGAAACAAUCGGUUAGUUGGUGGAUUUUCAGCCUAUAAUGGAGUGCAUGGCUCAGGGUGAAUAGAGAUGCACCUGAGGGGCGAACAUCACAUGAUAGCACCCCAAAGGAGACGAAUGUGAAUAGAGAACAGAGGAUGUUGCAUUCGAUCUUUUCUUAAGGUUUGAUUUUUUCUUCAGGGAUUUGUGAGUUGUGACCCAACAAAUAAGAGAAAUUUGAGUAAGUAAAUGGUGGAGCGAAUGCAAUAUAAAAACACUUCAACUGAAAUCUGAAACAAUCUAAGUCUACCUUACCCCAUUCUUGUAUCAUGUUAGAUGUUCUUUGAACUACUUCAUGCACACUCUGCUGCUGCAUGUGUUACUGCACAUAUAUAAUUUCAUCUGAACAAUUUCGACACACUUCAUCCUACAAAAUUCUGAUCUAGUGUAGUGUCAAAAACGUUCUUAUAUUAUGGGACGGAGGGAGUAGUUUAUUAAUUUCAGUCCAUUGAUAUUUAUUUGCAUCAAUGUUAUAUCCCUAUCUUUUGUAGCAUUGGAUCAAGAUUCAUGUCAUCGCCGCUGGUUCAACCUAUUCAUGGCUUCCAUCAUAGGGAAAAGGAAGGACACCAUUUUGUGACGCUGCCAACUAACUUUAGUCGGGGAGUACCUACAUUUUUUAGCUGGGGUGUACCUACAUAGCAACUCAUUUACAACCCGCUCGUGUAUGAGAUAGGGUCAACAUAAUCCUCUGUUUCACCGAGCGUUGUUUUAUCGAGAAGUAUGGAUGAAUUAAAAAACAAGAUAGUGUUAUAGGUUCAAACAUGUCAAUUUUGAUCACAAUUAACUGGAAACUUUCCUUUUUAUAGAUAAUUGAAAUUCACAGAAUACAGACAACACCCUUCAUUUGCUCAACUAGCACACCAUGUCUAAACAAGAACAUGUCAAAACGGGCAGCUUCAAAGAACCCAGAGAGAACGACAUUCUGCACCUCAAGCACAAAUUAAGCUGCACACUGCAAUUUCAUCAUCUUGAUCCGAUGAAGAAGCCGUAGCCAGUGUCCAUGAUCUCAAUUAAUUUGCGUGUCCAUCAAGUUUGCCACACUUCACGCUCAAAAGUAAGAACAUCUGUCACACACAAAACUUAACACUUUUGUAGCUCUUACGAGGCACAUGCAGUACAACUAACCCAAAAGUAAUCGCCCGAGCAAUUCCUCCCAAAAAGAGUCCAGUAUAGCUCCUCCAAAUUUAGUCCCAAAAAGAGUACAAUGAAGAAGGCCGACCAGUCGAUCUCAAACGGGAUAGCUCCGACAACAACACCACGAAACCAGCUUUGAAUCAUCUCCAUUGCCCCUGUUUGGGGAUCAAUAAUGUGCACACAGCCUUGGUUGUCAUUGAGGAGCAAUGCGCCGCCCAUCUCACCCAUGCAGAUGCAUUGCGCCAGGAUGAUCCAACCUUGUUGGGGUCGGUUUAGCUCAAUCGUCUAAGUGUGGAGCCAGUCUGCGUGUAGGGAAUAAAUCUUGUCCACAAGUGAAAUUGACAAGCCAUCAACAGGCCAGGAUUAGAACAAGAGCCACUUACAGAGAAAAGAAAAAAGAUGAGAGAACGGCAAAGAUACAAGGUGUUGCAACAGCUUACAAGCAAAAAAAAGUUACAGGCAAAAGAAAAGGAAUGAGGCAUGGCCUGAAACACCAAGGAUGAAACGUCUUGAGCAGAAGGCAGCACCAGCGGGGAGAUGAAAGACAUGGAAGUAGUCGCCACCGUCAGAAGAAUGCAGCCUCGCUCACUCCAUACAAUCCAAAACUAUGUCAGUGUCACCAUGCCAUUCCACUUUCUCAUUUAUACAAUGCUACAUGGUGUAUGACUUAAUAGAAACCUUCUCCAGCCGAAAGAAAAUGGUGUGCCCCAAGCCGGGGAUCAGUCAAAAUACAUGUUGAUGCAGCUGUGGGAAGACAUGGAGACAGGGGUCCAAUAGGGCGAUCUAUGAAGAUGAAACUGAUGCAUAUCUUGGAGCUUGGCGGUAUGUAUAGCUGAUAUGAUUGAUCCGGAAAUCCUGGAAUCGACGAUGUGCAGUGAAGCUCUAUCUUUGGCUGCAGAUAUUUGUUGCCAGCGGCUUGUUAUAUCUACUGGUUGUGCAGCUCCAGUUAAGCAUAUCCAAGGUGUCCAUCUGGGAAAAUCAGGAGUAAUCAUCAAGGGAAUUCAGAAGAUGGAGGAUUUUACCUCAGUGCAUAUCAUCCAUGAGAAGCGAUAUUGUAAUGUUGAAGGUCAUAAUUUGUCUGAAGAAGCAGCUAUUAUAGAUUUUGGAAGGCACAUAUGGCUAUCUAGUAGGCCCGUCGAACAUUUUGAUUGAAUAAAAUGCUUUCCAACCCUAAGAAAGAAGGUAUACAAGCCAACCUGAGUGAACAAUACUGAACCGGUCCAAAUAGAAAAAAUGGGUGGCACGCUACCUGGGCACUGACAUGUGGGUUCAAGUUGUCUAAAACAAUUUAGGCUGAUCAUUACCAGAUCCUAAGGAGUGGUUAAACAAGAUAUCCUGCAACCAAUGACAUCUAAAAAUCUUCUGAAUAAAAUAUGCCAGUUUCUCCAAUUGAAGCAUUUCCUGGAAAAGAACCUAAUUAAUCAGAGAGAACUGCUGUGAAACUUUGCUCAGUUGGCAAGCAAGAUUAGGGCUCCACGACGGGAAAACAGAGAGCAAGGUGCAGGUGAAUGUCAGACAGGAUCAUAACAUAAUUCAUCUUCACUCCAAUAUUAACUUGAUGUCCCCUUGUAUAUUCAUGCUCACUUCCUCUUAUUUAUUUGCAUGUUGUGCUGGCCGCGUAAUUCACCGGCAUGUGUAUUGAUCCCACCAACACAAUCAGACCCACAAGACCAUAAUUCAGGAGGUAUCGAAUAUGAUGAUUGCAUACAUAAAUUCCACAAAAAUAUCUAAUUUUAGGUUUAAAGAAAUGCUUGCUCAAUGCAUACAUGUGUUCUGGUCAUCUGCCACAAGUUUUACCUUAAUCUCUAAUUAUAGCAAAGAACGUAAAAAGCAAAUUAAGCAGCAAUCCAGGAGAUAAUGCAACUUGUGCAAAUGAAAUGUCAAUUACGAUCACAAUUAGCUGUGAAGUUUUCUUCUUUGAUAAUGGGGAUUCUCAUAAUAAUACAAACGACUACACCAAUAAAUCCAUGGGAUAAUAUUUAUAAAAUAGCUCCAUUGAGUUCAAUGUUGGUUCUCAGCACCUCAUUACUAUUUGUUCAAUAGAACAUCAAAGGUUCAGCUAGCAGUAGCACACCAAGUCUAAACAGGCACAUGUUAAAACUGAGAAUAAAAAAGAGGCCAUAUUCUACACCACUAGACCAAAUUAUUCUGCGCAGUUGUAUCCUAUUGAUCUGAUUUAGCAGGGCAACCCUUGCAACAUCUGUCCCUUGCCUUCACGCUGCACCAUGAUCAAUCUCGUAGCCAAUGCGCAGGUACACAUGACAAAUUAACUUGCAUCUUCAUUAAGUCUGCCACAACCAGAUCUUAAGAUUCCUGUAGCUCUUCAUGAUCCCAACUCAUCCAACGGACCCCACAAAGACGGCCUUCAUUGGGGCACAAUUAAACCCUGAUGUAGAAGCCGCACUACGAGAAUUCCUUCGGGAAAAUUGGGACAUUUUUGCCUGGCACCCUUCAGAUAUGCCAGGAAUCCCACGCAGGCUGGCAGAGCAUAGCCUAAAUAUCCUAAAAGGAUUCAAGCCAGUUACACAGGAUCUUCGGCGAUUUUCCGAACCCAAAAGACAGGCAAUGGGAGAGGAGCUAGCCAAACUCUUAGAAACCGGAUUCAUCAGAGAUAUAAAACAUCCGGACUGGCUAGCAAACCUGGUAAUGGUACCAAAAAAGGACAAAUCAUGGCGCCUUUGUGUCGAUUUCAAAGACCUUAACAAGGCCUGUCCAAAGGAUCCUUUCCCCCUCCCCCGCAUCGACCAAAUCAUCGAUGCUACCGCUGGGCACGAUUCAUUGUGCUUCCUCGACGCAUACUCCGAAUACCAUCAAAUCAAGAUGACGGAAACAGACCAGGCCGCAACGGCAUUCAUUACUCCAUAUGGACCAUUCUGCUUCAACACAAUGCCCUUCGGACUCAAAAACGCCGGCGCAACAUAUCAGCGCAUGAUUCAGACAUGUCUGGCUACCCAGAUAGGUAAAACAGUGGAGGCAUACGUAGACGAUGUGGUCGUUAAGACCAAACACGUCGAAACUCUAGUAGACGAUUUGAGGCUUACAUUCGACAACCUCCGAGCAUAUGACAUUAAGCUCAAUUCGGAAAAAUGUGUUUUCGGCGUACCGGCCGGAAAGCUCUUGGGCUUCAUUGUAUCCGGUAGAGGAAUUGAAGCAAAUCCAGCCAAGAUCCGAGCUCUGUCACAAUUGGAUAUCCCAAAAGACCUCAAACAAAUACAAAAACUAACUGGGUGCGUGGCGGCUCUAAGCCGCUUCAUCUCCCAUUUGGGAGAAAAGGCACUGCCCCUCUAUCGCCUCCUCCGGCGCACCGAACACUUCAAAUGGACGGAUGCUGCCACGGCCGGACUCGAAGAAAUUAAGGCCAUAUUGGCAACAAAUCCGGUCCUGGCCGCGCCCAACCUGGGCGAACCGAUGUUAUUAUAUAUCACAGCAACACAUCAAGUUGUCAGUGCGGUACUCGUCGUCAAACGAGAAACAGAAGGGCACAAAUUCCCUCUUCAAAAACCAGUGUACUACGUAUCCACUGUCUUAACUCCAUGCAAGUCCCGGUACCCACAUUAUCAAAAGAUAGCAUACGCGGUGUUCAUGGCAUCCCGAAAGCUGUGACACUACUUUCAAGAGUGUUCCAUAACAGUGGCCUCCGAAGUACCUCUCAACGACAUUAUAAACAACCGCGACGCGACGGGCAGGAUUGCAAAAUGGGCCAUUGAGCUCUUACCAUUUCACAUAACCUACAAACCACAGCGAGCUAUAAAGUCGCAAGUUUUGGCUGACUUCAUCGCCGAAUGGACCGAAGCCGAACUCCCUAAAGAGUACGGCGCAUACUCCAAUUGGAUCAUGCAUUUCGACGGCUCGAAAAUGUUGGCCGGCUUGGGGGCUGGCGUCGUCUUGACGUCCCCAACCGGAGACACAGUCCAAUACAUACUUCAAAUAAUGUACACGGACUCCAACAACGCAGCUGAAUAUGAGGCCCUUCUACAUGGUCUCCGGAUGGCAAUCUCCAUGGGUAUUCAACUCCUAGAGGUGCGCGGGGAUUCAAACCUUACAAUAUCCCAAGUAAAUGGAGACUUUGAUGCCAAGGAUCUGAAAAUGGCAGCCUACCGUAACGCCGUCCUAAAAAUGUUAGCUCGGUUCGAAGGACUCGAAUUCCACCAUGUAGCCCGGGAUAAUAACCAGGCAGCAGACGUGUUGGCACGCAUCGGCGCAAAACGCGACGCCGUCCCUCCAAACAUCUUCCUAGAGCGGCUCUUUAAGCCAUCCGUAUUAUGGGAAGAGGAGUCCGGAAAUAACAACCCGGAACCAACUGCACCACCCAACACGGAACAUUCUGACACAAUCGGUGGCUCAGCCAAUGAAAUAACACCUUCAGCCCACGAAAUAAUGGCAGUAAUUGCCCCGUGGACGGAACCAUUCCUAGCCUACUUAAUUAGGCAGGAACUUCCCGAAGACCAAAAUGAGGCCCGCUGCAUAGUUCGGCGAUCUAAAGCCUACAAGGUCCAUGAGGGAGAACUUUAUAAGAAAAGCACAACUGGAGUCCUUCAAAGGUGUAUCUCCGAACAGGAAGGGCGAAAUCUCCUGGCUGAGAUUCACGCCAGACUCGGCGGGCACCACGCUGCAGCCAGGGCCCUUGUAGGCAAGGCCUUCCAUACAGGAUUUUAUUGGCCGACAGCCCGGGCAGAUGCUCAAGACUUAGUCCAACGAUGUGUCGGUUGCCAGCUCUUUGCUAAUCAAAGCCACAUGCCACCCACCGCCCUCAAAACUAUACCCAUCACUUGGUCGUUCGUGGUCUGGGGGCUUGACAUGGUUGGACCCCUUAAAGAGGGAACCCACAAGCAAAAAUACUUAUUGGUCAUGGUGGACAAAUUCAGCAAAUGGAUAGAGGCCAAGCCGGUUAAAAUGGCAGAAUCCGGACCUGUGAUAGACUUCAUAUCCGGGGUAGUACACCGUUUUGGCGUCCCCCACAGCACCAUCACUGAUAACGGCACGAAUUUCAUGGAUGGCGAGGUUAAACUCUGGUGCAAAAACAUGGGCAUCAAGCUCGACUAUGCUUCAGUUUAUCACCCUCAAACUAACGGUCAAGUCGAACGAGCAAAUGGUCUAAUCAUGAGCGGAAUUAAACCCAGAUUAGUGCGGUCCCUCACGGAAUCUAACACGCAUUGGGUAGAGGAGCUCGACUCCGUACUCUGGGGGCUGCGGACCACACCAAACCGCACUACCGGAUUCACACCAUUUUUUAUGGUAUACGACACAGAGGCAGUUUUGCCCUGCGAUAUAAUUCAUGACUCACCUCGCGUGCGCAUGUACGAAGAAAGAGAAGCCGAGUUGGAUCGGCAGGACAGUUUGGACGCCUUAGAGGAGGAGUGCGACGUGGCAAAAUCCCGUUCCGCAUUCUAUCAGCAGCAGGCUCGAAGAUAUCAAAGCAGAGAAGUACGGGCCAAAACUUACAAUGUUGGCGAGCUAGUUCUACGCCUGCCGGACAAGAAAAAGGACAAACUUAAGCCCAAAUGGGAAGGUCCCUUCAUCAUCGACCAAGUCCUUACCGGCGGUGCAUAUCGUCUACGCAACGCAUCUGACAACCGACUCGAGCCGAACCCAUGGAACGCAGCCCGUCUCCGAAGAUUCUACGCCUAGCGCCGGACUCAGAGUUCGUCUCCUUCCUCCGUCCACCUUUCAUAUUUUUUCGCUGUCUUUUGUUUCCCUCCUUUUUCCUCCCUCUUUCAGUAAAAGCCUUUGAGGGCUAAUCUCCGCAUUGUUCGCACAUGCUUGAUGUGUUGGGGAACGUAGCAGAAAUUCAAAAAAAAUUCCUACGUAACACCAAGAUCUAUCUAUGGAGAGACCAGCAAUGAGUAGAAAGGAGAGUGCAUCUACAUACCCUUGUAGAUCGCUAAGCGGAAGCGUUCAAGUGAACGGGGUUGAUGGAGUCGUACUCGUCGUGAUUCAGAUCACCGAUGAUCCUAGUGCCGAACGGACGGCACCUCCGCGUUCAACACACGUACAGCUCGACGAUGUCUCCCACGCCUUGAUCCAGCAAGGAGAGAGGGAGAGGUUGAGGAAGACUCCAUCCAGCAGCAGCACAACGGCGUGGUGGUGAUGGAGGAGCGUGGCAAUCCUGCAGGGCUUCGCCAAGCACCUGCGGGAGAGGAGGAGGUGUCACGGGAGGGAGGGAGGCGCCAAGGGCUCAGGUAUGGAUGCCCUCCCUCCCCUCCACUAUAUAUAGGGGCAGGGGAGAGGGGGGAGGCGCAGCCUUGCCCCUUCCUCCAAGGAAGGGGUGCGGCUAAGAGGGGGGAGGAGUCCAUCCUCCCCAAGGCACCUCGGAGGUGCCUUCCCCCUUUAGGACUCUCCCCUUUUUCCUAUAUCUUGGCGCAUGGGCCUCUAGGGGCUGGUGCCCUUGGCCCAUGUAGGCCAAGGCGCACCCCCUACAGCCCAUGUGGCCCCCCCGGGGCAGGUGGCCCCACCCGGUGGGCCCCCGGGACCCUUCCGGUGGUCCCGGUACAAUAUCGAUGACCCCGAAACUUGUCCCGAUGGCCGAAACAGGACUUCCUAUAUAUAAAUCUUUACCUCCUGACCAUUCCGGAACUCCUCGUGACGUCUGGGAUCUCAUCCGGGACUCCGAACAACAUUCGGUAACCACAUACAAACUUCCUUUAUAACCCUAGCAUCAUCGAACCUUAAGUGUGUAGACCCUACGGGUUCGGGAGACAUGUAGUCAUGACCGAGAUGUUCUCCGGUCAAUAACCAACAGCGGGAUCUGGAUACCCAUGUUGGCUCCCACAUGUUCAAUGAUGAUCUCAUCGGAUGAACCACGAUGUCAAGGACUCAAUCAAUCCCGUAUACAAUUCCCUUUGUCUAGCGGUAUGGUACUUGCCCGAGAUUCGAUCGUCGGUAUACCGAUACCUUGUUCAAUCUCGUUACCGGCAAGUCUCUUUACUCGUUCCGUAACACAUCAUCCCGUGAUCAACCCCUUGAUCACAUUGUGCACAUUAUGAUGAUGUCCUACCGAGUGGGCCCAGAGAUACCUCUCCGUUUACACGGAGUGACAAAAUCCCAAUCUCGAUUCGUGCCAACCCAACAGACACUUUCAGAGAUACCCGUAGUGUACCUUUAUAGCCACCCAGUUACGUUGUGACGUUUGGCACACCCAAAGCACUCCUACGGUAUCCGGGAGUUGCACAAUCUCAUGGUCUAAGGAAAUGAUACUUAACAUUAGAAAAGCUUUAGCAUACGAACUACAUGAUCUUGUGCUAGGCUUAGGAUUGGGUCUUGUCCAUCACAUCAUUCUCCUAAUGAUGUGAUCUCGUUAUCAACGACAUCCAAUGUCCAUGGUCAGGAAACUGUAACCAUCUAUUGAUUAACGAGCUAGUCAACUAGAGGCUUACUAGGGACAUGGUGUUGUCUAUGUAUCCACACAUGUAUCUGAGUUUCCUAUCAAUACAAUUCUAGCAUGGAUAAUAAACGAUUAUCAUGAACAAGGAAAUAUAAUAAUAAUCAAUUUAUUAUUGCCUCUAGGGCAUAUUUCCAACAGUCUCCCACUUGCACUAGAGUCAAUAAUCUAGUUCACAUCACCAUGUGAUUAACACUGACAGGUCACAUCACCAUGUGACCAACAUCCAAAGAGUCUUGGGUUUGAUCAUGUUGCUUGUGAGAGAGGUUAUAGUCAACGGGUCUGAACCUUUCAGAUCCGUGUGUGCUUUACAAAUCUCUAUGUCAUCUCCUAGAUGCAGCUACCACGUUCUAUUUGGAGCUAUUCCAAAUAAUUGUUCUACUUGAAGCUAUUCUAAAUUUUUGCUCCAUUAUACGUAUCUGGUAUCUCUACUCAGAGCUAUCCGGAUAGGUGUUAAGCUUGCAUCGACGUAACCCUUUACGACGAACUCUUUUACCACCUCCAUAAUUGAGAAAAUUCCUUAGUCCACUAGUUACUAAGGAUAACUUUGACCGAUGUCCUGCGAUCAAUUCUUGGAUCACCCUUGUACCCCUUGACUGACUCAUGGUAAAGCACACUUCAGGUGCGGUACACAGCAUAGCAUACUGUAGAGCCUAUGUCUUAAGCAUAGGGGACGACCUUCGUUCCUUUCUCUCUAUUCUGCCAUGGUCGAGCUUUAAGUCUUAACUUCAUACCUUACAACUCAGGCAAGAACUCCUUCUUUGACUGGUCCAUCUUGAACACCUUCAAGAUCAUGUCAAGGUAUAUGCUCAUUUGAAAGUACUAUUAAGCGUUUUGAUCUAUCCUUAUAGAUCUUGAUGCUCAAUGUUCAAGUAGCUUAAUCCAGGUUUUCCAUUGAAAAACACUUUCCAAAUAACCCUAUAUGCUUUCCAGAAAUUCUACAUCAUUUCUGAUCAACAAUAUGUCAACAACAUAUACUUAUCAGAAAUUCUAUAGUGCUCCCACUCACUUCUUUGGAAAUACAAGUUUCUCAUAAACUUUGUAUACACCCAAAAUCUUUGAUCAUCAUCAAAGCAUACAUUCCAACUCCGAGAUGCUCACUCCAGUCCUUAGAAGGAUUGCUGGAGCUUUGCAUACUUAUUAGCAUAUUUUGGGAUUGACAAAACCUUCCGGUUGUACAACCUUUCCUCAAGUAUAACGUCGAGGAAACAAUGUUUUGACAUCCUAUCUGCAAGAUUUCAUAAAUAAUGCAGUAAUUGCUAAUAUAAUUCCAACAGACUCUUAGCAUCUCUAUGAGUGAGAAAGUCUCAUCGUAGUCAACUCCUUGAACUUGUCGGAAAAUAUCUUAACGACAAGUCGAGCUUUCUCAAUGGUGACACUUACCAUCAUUUUCUGUCUUCCUUUCAAAAUCCAUAUGUACCUAACAGCCUUACGACCAUCAAGUAGUUCUUCCAAAGUCUACACUUUGUUUUCAUACAUGGAUCCUCUCUCGGGUUUUAUGGCCUUGAGUCAUUUAUCGGAAUCCGGGCCCACCAUCGCUUCUCCAUAGCUCAUAGGUUCAUUGUUGUCUAGCAACAUGACUUCCAAGACAGGAUUACGUACCACUCUGAAGUAGUACGCAUCCUUGUCAUCCCACGAGGUUUGGUAGUGACUCGAUCCGAAGUUUCAUGAUCACUAUCAUAAGCUUCCACUUCAGUUGGUGUACGUGCCACAGGAACAACUUCCUGUGCCCUACUACACACUUGUUGAAGUGACGGUUCAAUAACCUCAUCAAGUCUCCACCAUCCUCCCACUCAACUUUUCGAGAGAAACCUUUCCUCGAAAAAGGACCCGAUUCAAGAAACAAUCCCUAUUGCUUUCGGAUCUGAAUUAGGAGGUAUACCCAACUGUUUUUGGGUGUCCUAUGAAGAUGCAUUUUAUCUGCUUUGGGUUCGAGCUUAUCAACCUGAAACCUUUUCACAUAAGCGUCGCAGCCCCAAACUUUCAAGAAACGGCAACUUAGGUUUCUCCAAACCAUAGUUCAUACGGUGUAAUCUCAACGAAAUUAUGUGGUGCCCUAUUUAAAGUGAAUGUGGUUGUCUCUAAUGCCUAACCCAUGAACGAUAGUGGUAACUCGAUAAGAGACAUCAUGGUAUGCACCAUAUCCAAUAGGGUGCAACUAUGACGUUUGGACACACCAUCACACUAUGGUGUUCCAGGCGGUAUUAAUUGUGAAACAAUUUCCACAAUGUCUUAAUUGUGUGCCAAAACUCGUAAUUCAGAUAUUCAUCUCUAUGAUCAUAUCAUAGAUCUUUUAUCCUCUUGUCACAAUGAUCUUUCAACUUCACACUGAAAUUACUUGAACCUUUCAAUAAUUCAGACUCAUGAUUCAUCAAGUAAAUAUACUCAACAUCUACUCGAAUCAUCUGUGAAGUAAGAACAUAACGAUAUUCACUGCAUGCCUCGGCACUCAUUGGACUGCACACAUCAAAAUGUGUUACUUCCAACAAGUUGCUAUCUUGUUCCAUCUUACUGAAAACGAGGCUUUUCAGUCAUCUUGCCCAUGUGGUAUGAUUUGCAUGUCCCAAGUGAUUCAAAAUCAAGUGAGUCAAAACGGUCCAUUUGCAUGGAGUUUCUUCAUGCAUAUACACCAAUAGACAUGGUUCGCAUGUCUCAGACUUUUCAAAAACGAGUCAGCCCAAAGAUCCAUCAAUAUGGAGCUUCUUCAUGCGUUUUAUACCGAUAUGACUUACGUGGUAGUGCCACAAGUAGGUGGUACUAUCAUUACUAUCUUUUGGCAUGAACAUGUGUAUCACUACGAUCGAGAUUUAAUAAACCAUUCAUUUUAGGUGUAAGACCAUUGAAGGUAUUAUUCAAAUAAACAGAGUAACCAUUAUUCUCCUUAAAUGAAUAACCGUAUUGCGAUAGACGUAAUCCAAUCAUGUCUAUGCUCAACGCAAACACCAAAUAACAAUUAUUUAGGUUUAACACCAAUCUCUUUGGUAGAGGGAGCGUGCGAUGCUUGAUCAUAUCAAGCUUGGAAAAACUUCCAACACAUAUCGUCAGCUCACCUUUAGCUAGUCUCCGUUUAUUCCGUAGCCUUUUGUUUCCAGUUACUAACACUUAGCAACCGAACCGGUAUCUAAUACCCUGGUGCUACUAGGAGUACUAGCAAAGUACACAUUAACACAAUGUAUAUCCAAUAUACUUCUAUCGACCUUGCCAGCCUUCUUAUCUACCAAGUAUCUAGGGUAAUUCUGCUCUAGUGGUUGUUCCCCUUAUUACAGAAGCACUUAGUCUCGGGUUUGGGUUUUACCUUGGGUUUCUUCACUAGAGCAGCAGCUGAUUUGCCGUUUCAUGAAGUAUCCCUUCUUGCCCUUGCCCUUCUUGAAACUAGUGGUUUCACCAACCAUCAACAAUUGAUGCUCCUUCUUGAUUUCUACUUUCGCGGUGUCAAACAUCGCGAAUACCUCAAGGAUCAUCAUAUCUAUCCCUGAUAUGUUAUAGUUCAUCACGAAGCUCUAACAGCUUGGUGGCAAUGACUUUGGAGAACCAUCACUGUCUUAUCUGGAAGAUCAACUCCCACUCGAUUCAAAUGAUUGUUGUACUCAGACAAUCUGAGCACAAGCUCAACAAUUGAGCUUUUCUCCUUAGUUUGCAGGUUAAGAAAAUCGUCGGAGGUCUUAUACCUCUUGACGUGGGCACGAGCCUGAAAUCCCAAUUUCAGCCCUCGAAACAUCUCAUAUGUUUCGCGAUGUUUCAAAAACGUCUUUGGUGCCUCAACUCUAAACCGUUUAACUGAACUGUCACGUAGUUAUCAAAACGUGUAUGUCAGAUGUUCGCAACAACCACAGACAACGUUCGAGGUUCAGCACACUGAGCGGUGCAUUAAGGACAUAAGCCUUCUAUGAAGCAAUGAGGACAAUCCUCAGUUUACGGACCUAGUCCGCAUAAUUGCUACUAUCAACUUUUAACUAAUUUUUCUCUAGGAACAUAUCUAAACAGUAGAACUAUAGCGUGAGCUACGACAUAAUUUGCAAAAACCUUUUGACUAUGUUCAGGAUAAUUAAGUUCAUCUUAUGAACUCCCACUCAGAUAGACAUCCCUCUAGUCAUCUAAGUGAUUACAUGAUCCGAGUCAAACUAGGCCGUGUCCGAUCAUCACGUGAGACGGACUAGUCAUCAUCGGUGAACAUCUUCAUGUUGAUCGUAUCUUCUAUACGACUCAUGUUCGACCUUUCGGUCUCCGUGUUCCGAGGCCAUGUCUGUACAUGCUAGGCUCGUCAAGUUAACCCUAAGUGUUUCGCGUGUGUAAAUCUGUCUUACACCCGUUGUAUGUGAACGUUAGAAUCUAACACCCGAUCAUCACGUGGUGCUUCGAAAACACGAACUGUCGCAACUAUUACUACCGUCGUUAGGGGAGAACACUUCUUGAAAUUGUUGUAAGGGAUCAUCUUAUUUACUACCGUCGUUCUAAGCAAAUAAGAUGUAUAAACAUGAUAAACAUCACAUGCAAUCAAAUAGUGACAUGAUAUGGCCAUCAUCACUUUGCUCCUUUUGAUCUCCAUCUUCGGGGCUCCAUGAUCAUCAUCGUCACUGGCAUGACACCAUGAUCUCCAUCAUCAUGAUCUCCAUCAUCGUGUCUUCAUGAAGUUGCCUCGCCAACUAUUACUUCUACUACUAUGGCUAACGGUUAGCAAUAAAGUAAAGUAAUUACAUGACGUUUAAGUUGACACGCAAGUCACAAAUAAAUAAAGACAACUCCUAUGGCUCCUGCCGGUUGUCAUACUCAUCGACAUGCAAGUCGUGAUUCCUAUUACAAGAACAUGAUCAAUCUCAUACAUCACAUAUAUCAUUCAUCACAUCCUUUUUUGGCCAUAUCACAUCACAUAGCAUACCCCGCAAAAACAAGUUAGACGUCCUCUAAUUGUUGUUUGCAUGUUUUACGUGGCUGCUAUGGGUUUCUAGCAAGAACGUUUCUUACCUACGCAUGAACCACAACGUGAUAUGCCAAUUGCUAUUUACCCUUCAGAAGGACCCUUUUCAUCGAAUCCGAUCCGACUAAAGUGGGAGAGACAGACACCCGCCAGCCACCUUAUGCAACUAGUGCAUGUUUGUCGGUGGAACCGGUCUCACGUAAGCGUACGUGUAAGGUUGGUCCGGGCCGCUUCAUCCCACGAUGCCGCCGAAUUAAGAUAAGACUAGUAACGGCAAGCAUAUUGAACAAUAUCGACGCCCACAACUACUUUGUGUUCUACUCGUGCAAAGAAUCUACGCAAUAGACCUAGCUCAUGAUGCCACUGUUGGGGAACGUAGCAGAAAUUCAAAAAAAUUUCCUACGUAACACCAAGAUCUAUCUAUGGAGAGACCAGCAACGAGUAGAAAGGAGAGUGCAUCUACAUACCCUUGUAGAUCGCUAAGCGGAAGCGUUCAAGCGAACGGGGUUGAUGGAGUCGUACUCGUCGUGAUUCAGAUCACCGAUGAUCCUAGUGCCGAACGGACGGCACCUCCGCGUUCAACACACGUACAGCUCGACGAUGUCUCCCACGCCUUGAUCCAGCAAGGAGAGAGGGAGAGGUUGAGGAAGACUCCAUCCAGCAGCAGCAUAACGGCGUGGUGGUGAUGGAGGAGCGUGGCAAUCCUGCAGGGCUUCGCCAAGCACCUACGGGAGAGGAGGAGGUGUCACGGGAGGGAGGGAGGCGCCAAGGGCUCAGGUAUGGAUGCCCUCCCUCCCCUCCACUAUAUAUAGGGGCAGGGGAGAGGGGGGAGGCGCAGCCUUGCCCCUUCCUCCAAGGAAGGGGUGCGGCUAAGAGGGGGGGAGGAGUCCAUCCUCCCCAAGGCACCUCGGAGGUGCCUUCCCCCUUUAGGACUCUCCCCUUUUUCCUAUAUCUUGGCGCAUGGGCCUCUAGGGGCUGGUGCCCUUGGCCCAUGUAGGCCAAGGCGCACCCCCUACAGCCCAUGUGGCCCCCCCGGGGCAGGUGGCCCCACCCGGUGGGCCCCCGGGACCCUUCCGGUGGUCCCGGUACAAUACCGAUGACCCCGAAACUUGUCCCGAUGGCCGAAACAGGACUUCCUAUAUAUAAAUCUUUACCUCCGGACCAUUCCGGAACUCCUCGUGAUGUCUGGGAUCUCAUCCGGGACUCCGAACAACAUUCGGUAACCACAUACAAACUUCCUUUAUAACCCUAGUGUCAUCGAACCUUAAGUGUGUAGACCCUACGGGUUCGGGAGACAUGUAGUCAUGACCGAGAUGUUCUCCGGUCAAUAACCAACAGCGGGAUCUGGAUACCCAUGUUGGCUCCCACAUGUUCCACGAUGAUCUCAUCGGAUGAACCACGAUGUCAAGGACUCAAUCAAUCCCGUAUACAAUUCCCUUUGUCUAGCGGUAUGGUACUUGCCCGAGAUUCGAUCGUCGGUAUACCGAUACCUUGUUCAAUCUCGUUACCGGCAAGUCUCUUUACUCGUUCCGUAACACAUCAUCCCGUGAUCAACCCCUUGGUCACAUUGUGCACAUUAUGAUGAUGUCCUACUGAGUGGGCCCAGAGAUACCUCUCCGUUUACACGGAGUGACAAAAUCCCAAUCUCGAUUCGUGCCAACCCAACAGACACUUUCAGAGAUACCCGUAGUGUACCUUUAUAGCCACCCAGUUACGUUGUGACGUUUGGCACACCCAAAGCACUCCUACGGUAUCCGGGAGUUGCACAAUCUCAUGGUCUAAGGAAAUGAUACUUGACAUUAGAAAAGCUUUAGCAUACGAACUACGUGAUCUUGUGCUAGGCUUAGGAUUGGGUCUUGUCCAUCACAUCAUUCUCCUAAUGAUGUGAUCCCGUUAUCAACGACAUCCAAUGUCCAUGGUCAGGAAACCGUAACCAUCUAUUGAUUAACGAGCUAGUCAACUAGAGGCUUACUAGGGACAUGGUGUUGUCUAUGUAUCCACACAUGUAUCUGAGUUUCCUAUCAAUACAAUUCUAGCAUGGAUAAUAAACGAUUAUCAUGAACAAGGAAAUAUAAUAAUAAUCAAUUUAUUAUUGCCUCUAGGGCAUAUUUCCAACAUGAUGUGCUACUCGCACUCGUUAUACCUGGGGGCUUCUUUAACAGAAGCUUAUUUAUACGGGCUUCAUGCCCAACACAUGUGUCAUACUUCCGCAUGUACCUUUUACUCACCAUUAUAUGCAUCGAUAUGACUUAAGUUUUGGCCAAGCUGGGUUGCCUGGCUCCUGUGCUUACCCCUACAUUCCCGAUUGUUCGGCUAGGAGGUAAAGGGAGCACCUCUGCGAUUGUUACUGCCGGGUCAGCCGGAUGUGUACCUCAGACUUGGUGAAGCCGAAGGCUAGCGUUCUUAAGGGAAUAUUCGGUUGGUGACUUGAAAGAUGAUUUAUUACUUAUUUAUUUAUCUGCCCCCAGAUGCUUUUUCUGCUCUUUUCGUAGUCUGGACAUGCACUUUAGGGCAUGCCUCCCAGGGAAAGGAACCCCUAACGGAACUAUUCUCCCUGGAAGAUGUUUCUUACUAACCAUGUAAUAUAACAUAGCUAGUUGGGCACUUGUCUGAUAAAGCACUUAUGACCCCUACGCCUGGUCUCCAUGCAUGCCCCGGUUUUUGUAUAACCGUGAGGGUAUUCGGACACACUCCGGACUGUUGGGUCCCGAGGUUAAAGCGAAAAGGUCCGCAAAGACAAACGAUCUACAAUCCGGCUAGAAGGCAUUUUACAUGUCAUUUUAAAUUACAUCGUCAAACUGACUGAUUGUACUCCUCUUCAAUCCCAUCUAACAGGCUGUCUAGUUUACAGUCCCGUUGGGAAUAUUUCACGGCCAACUCUACUUGGCCGUACAUCAGGCUCACAGGGAUCUCCUUCCCAUCAGGCUCCACAGGUCCGACCUCGGCCAUGUGGUUUGGAUCAGCCUUGGUGUACCGCGUCUUCACCAUGGCCCAGGCCUCCCUGGCGCCUUGACGGUAGGCCGAUAUCUUCCACAGAUGGAAGCGCUGCCGUACUCCCUGAAGCUUCUCAGCAAGCCCUCCAAGACCCUUGGGUAGGGAGACGGACGGCCAUAAGGCCUGAAUGACGCUGCUCAUCGCCUGUCGGACAUGUUCGUGCAGUUGCAGCAGCUCGGGAAGAAGGUCACCCGUGGAACCAGGCAUUUCCUCCGCUGGACGACCCGUGAGCACACCUACAGACACAUUUCUGUCAAUCGACUUCCUCGCCGAACUCUUCUUUUCAAAAGAGUUUGCUCAAGCACUUACCGUAAAUGCCGCGACGAAGCCGCCGAUUCUCCUUUACGGAGUUAGACAGCUAGACCCGAACAUCGUUUAGCUCUUCGCCCAGCUGGGUGUUGGCAUCUUGGAGUUUGUUCCUCUCCUGCUGCACCCUCAUAAGCACCUUCUCACCGGCCUUCAGCUGGCGCAGCAGAUGUUGCUUGUCCGGAUCUAGUUUGGCACCCUCUGCAAUAUUAUUGUCAGACUAAACGCACACGCCGCACUUCAUAAACUACUUAUCUUUUCGAAAUAUGUAUUACCAGAGGGGGUCUCUGUGGCUCCCCCGGCGGCGGCUAGUGCGGCCUCAAGUUGGGCCUUGCAUUCUUGAAGCUCCUGGGACAGGUGGGUAUUCUUCUCCGUAAGAUCCUGCAUAACAAAUGAUCCUUAAAUCAGUUAGUUUAACUAUUUUAAGUCUCGUGGGCUACUGGCAUGUAUAACUAUUAAAAUUCCUCGCCCGUAUGUCUUUCACAUACUGCUCCGUGGAUCUGGUUAAACCAUCUUGAGCAGCACGGAGGUGCGCGUCUCCCGCAUUAAAGGCAUUCAACGCCUCUGGGGAGAAGCACGCGUCACGAAGAACUGUCCGGCGACGCCUAUGAUUCAUGGCGCUCUCCACCUCAGACCUGGUGGCGGACAGCCUGUUGGCAUCCUCUGUUGGAGGAGCAUCCGGCUCGCGCCUUGCGCUCGCCUCCCCCUCCGGAGCAGGUGUUGGAGCCUGGCUGGCGGAGGCUUGGUUGGCAACCUCUCCGGGCACAGUCCGGCGAGCGCUCUUUCUCCUGGAAGAAUCAUGAGCAUUAAUAUACCUCCCAGGAGUCUUUCCCUUAAAGACACUGGUGCACCAUACCUUUGCGGCGACGUUUCGAUUCGCGCCGCACUCCUUUUCCGCCUGCUGGGCCGCACUGACCCUGGUUGGUCAGUCGCCGCGGGCUCGGCUUCCCGCCGUAAAGGCACCUCCUGCGAAGCACCGUUGGUAUACGGUGGUCAGAAAUAAGCAUUAAAAAAGUAAUGGUGUCAGGACUUCGGUCGUACUCACCUGGGAAGCCGGAGAUAAACCGGGGUAGUUAGCCGUAAUGGCGACUAGAGCAUUGUCUAUGCUCAGUUGGUGGAACACCCCGUCAAUCAGUUCCACCUUUAUGUCCGGAUCCUCUUCGGAGGCCGGAUCAAGGGAUCUUCCCGGAUCCUAGGGUUGUGGAGUCGGGCUUUGUAUGCCCUCCACAUCCCGGCGCAGUUCUUGCGUUGAAAUCAUAAAGUAAGACACUUAACUUUAAAAGUACGGAUCGGAUAUAUAAACGUCCGCUUACCCAGCUCCGAGGGUUAUUCAUGGAGAAUCCAUUCAGUGGACUCGUGCAGAGGAAGUCCUCCUUCUCCCCCUUGUACAAGCCGGACAGGAUCUUCACCAGAUCGGCGGUCGAUCCCGGCCCCUUGCGGCCAUGACGGGUGGCGUCAUUUUCCCUGUUGAAAUCCCACAUGGGGUGGCCCCUAUAUUGGAGCGGUUGCACCCCUCGCAUAAUGCAUGUGGCCAUGACUCCAAUCAUGGUCAAUCCGGAAUGGGCCAGUAACCUUAUCCGGCCCAUCAGAUAUUGGACGCUCCUAUCAUCUUCCCAUUGAGGGAUCCGCGGGCGCCAACUUAGGCGUUUCUUCAGAGGAGCGUUGCUAUACUCCGGGAGGCCGAUCUGAACUGGAUCCGGCAGCGGGGCGUCUUCCAUAUAGAACCAUUCCGAAGGCCAGUCUUCGGACGCCUUCUUCGGGGUUCCGGAUAGAUAUCCAGUCCCGGCGAUGCGCCAUAUUUCGGCUCCGCCCACUUGAUAUAUCGACCCCUCGUGAGAAUGGGGUACGAGGCAAAACAAUCUCUUCCACAGCACAAAAUGGGGCUCGAUGCCCAAGAACAGCUUGCAAAGAGCUACAAAGCCCGUGAUGUGCAAGAUGGAGGCAGGUGUGAGGUGGUGAAGUUGGAGUCCAUAGAACUCCAAGAGCCCCCGGAGAAACGGAUGUAUGGGAAAUCCGAGUCCCCUUAUUAGGUAGGGGACGAAGCAUACCCGCUCUCCUUUGGAGGGAUUGGGGACGCUCUCUGCCUGCUUCCCACCCUUGUAGGUGGCCAGUCCGGCUCGAACCGGAACCAUAAAGGCUGGGGGAAGGUAUCCCUCUGCUUGGAGCGUCACUAACUCGCUAUGCGGGACUGAACAUCUCCUCCAAUCUCCUGGCUGAGGACUGGGAGCGCGAGAGGAGGAGCCGCGUCAACUGUCCAUGUUGGAAUGGAUUUUUGUCAGAUGCGCUUCGAUUAGUACUUGCAGAAGGAGGAUGGUGUGAUUCAGAUCUGGGUCCUUGCCUCUCUUAUAGGUAGCUUAUUCGCGCAGCUAGGGGGUAAAACGUAAAAAUACCCUGGCUUUUCGCAUUCAUACGACACAUGGAAGAGGGCCAUUAUUGGACGUAGAAGCCAAGGAGCGCAACAUUUAUAAGGAAACCGGACACUAUUCGGCAAACACAUGGAAUAUGGAGGAGAACCCGCCUUGCAAACGCCAAAGACAAUAUACGCGCCAGACUCGUCGUCAUUGAAGCCUGGUUCGGGGGCUACUGAGGGAGUCCUGGACUAGGGGGUGUCCGGAUAGCCGAACUAUCAUCAUCGGCUGGACACCAAGACUAUGAAGAUACAAGAUUAAAGACUCCGUCCCGUGUCCGGAUGGGACUUUCCUUGGCGUGGAAGGCAAGCUUGGCGAUACGCAUAUGUAGAUCUCCUACCAUUGUAACCGACUCUGUGUAACCAUAGCCCUCUCCGGUGUCUAUAUAAACCGGAUGGUUUUAGUACGUAGGACGAACAACAAUCAUACCAUAGUCUAGCUUCUAGGGUUUAGCCUCCUUGAUCUCGUGGUAGAUCUACUCUUGUAAUACCCACAUCAUCAAUAUCAAUCAAGCAGGACGUAGGGUUUUACCUCCAUCAAGAGGGCCCGAACCUGGGUAAAGCAUCGUGCCCCUUGUCUCCUGUUACCAUCUGCCUAGACGCACAGUUCGGGACCCCCUACCCGAGAUCCGCCGGUUUUGACACCGACAGUCGUCAUCAUCAACCAUCCUCCAUCACCAAUUUCAUGAUGCUCACCGUCGUGCGUGAGUAAUUCCAUCGUAGGCUUGCUGGACGGUGAUGGGUUGGAUGAGAUUUACCAUGUAAUAAAGUUAGUUUUGUUAGGGUUUGAUCCCUAGUAUCCACUAUGUUCUGAGAUUGAUGUUGCUAUGACUUUGCUAUGCUUAAUGCUUGUUACUAGGGCCUGAGUGCCAUGAUUUCAGAUCUGAACCUAUUAUGUUUUCAUGAAUAUAUGUGAGUUCUUGAUCCUAUCUUGCAAGUCUAUAGUCACCUAUUAUGUGUUAUGAUCCGACAACCCCGAAGUGACAAUAAUCGGGAUACUUCUCGGUGAUGACCGUAGUUUGAGGAGUUCAUGUAUUCACUAUGUGUUAAUGCUUUGGUCCGGUACUCUAUUAAAAGGAGGCCUUAAUAUCCCUUAGUUUCCACUAGGACCCCGCUGCCACGGGAGGGUAGGACAAAAGAUGCCAUGCAAGUUCUUUUCCAUAAGCAUGUAUGACUAUAUUCGGAAUACAUGCCUACAUUACAUUGCUGAACUGGAGCUAGUUCUGUGUCACCCUAUGUUAUAGCUAUUACAUGAGGAAUCGCAUCCGACAUAAUUAUCCAUCAUUGAUCCAACGCCUACGAGAUUUUCACAUAUUGUUCUUCGCUAUUUACUUUUCCGUUGCUACUGUUACGAUUACUACAAAACUGCUAUCUUUACUUUUGCCACUGUUACCAAUACUAUCAUACUACUUUGCUACUAAAUACCUUGCUGCAGAUACUAAGUUAUACAGGUGUGGUUGAAUUGACAACUCAACUGCUAAUACUUGAGAAUAUUCUUUGGCUCCCCUUGUGUCGAAUCAAUAAAUUUAGGUUGAAUACUCUACCCUGAAAGCUGUUGCGAUCCCCUAUACUUGUGGGUUAUCAAUGCGUAAGUAAGAAUGGUUCUUGCUCAGCCCGUAGCAGCCACAUAAAACUUGCAACAACAAAGUAGAGGACGUCUAACUUGUUUUUGUAGGGCAUGUUGUGAUGUGAUAUGGUCAAGGCAUGGUGCUAUAUUUUAUUGUAUGAGAUGAUCAUGUUUUGUAACCGAGUUAUCGGCAACUGGCAGGAGCCAUAUGGUUGUCGCUUUAUUGUAUGCAAUGCAAUCACCGGUAAUUGCUUUACUUUAUCACUAAGCAGUAGCGAUAGUCGUAGAAGAAAUAGUUGGCAAGACGACAAUGAUACUAUGAUGGAGAUCAAGGUGUCGCGCCGGUGACGAUGGUGAUCAUGACGGUGCUUCAGAGAUGGAGAUCGCAAGCACAAGAUGAUGAUGGCCAUAUCAUAUCACUUAUAUUGAUUGCAUGUGAUGUUUAUCAUUUAUGCAUCUUAUCUUGCUUUGAUUGACGGUAGCAUUAUAAGAUGAUCUCUCACUAAAUUUCAAGAUAAAGUGUUCUCCCUGAGUAUGCAUCGUUGCCAAAGUUCGUCGUGCCCAGACACCACGUGAUGAUCGGGUGUGAUAAGCUCUACGUCCAUUUACAACGGGUGCAAGCCAGUUUUGCACAUGCAGAAUACUCGGGUUAAACUUGACGAGCCUAGCAUAUGCAGAUAUGGCCUCGGAACACUGAGACCGAAAGGUCAAGCAUGAAUCAUAUAGUAGAUAUGAUCAACAUAGUGAUGUUCACCAUUGAAAACUACUCCAUCUCACGUGAUGAUCGGACAUGGUUUAGUUGAUUUGGAUCACGUGAUCACUUAGAUGAUUAGAGGGAUGUCUAUCUAAGUAGGAGUUCUUAAGUAAUAUGAUUAAUUGAACUUUAAUUUAUCAUGAACUUAGUCCUGAUAGAAUUUUGCAAAAAUGGUGUAGAUCAAUAGCUCGUGUUAUUGCUUCCCUAUAUUUUAUAUGUGUUCCUAGAGAAAAUUAAGUUGAAAGAUGAUAGUAGCAAUGAUGCGGACUGGGUCCGUGAUCUGAGGUUUAUCCUCAUUGCUGCAUAGAAGAAUUAUGUCCUUGAUGCACCGCUAGGUGACAGACCUAUUGCAGGAGCAGAUGCAGACGUUAUGAACGUUUGGCUAGCUCAAUAUGAUGAUUACUUGAUAGUUUAGUGCACCAUGCUUAACAGCUUAGAAUCGGGACUUCAGAGAUGUUUUGAACGUCAUGGACCAUACCAGAUGUUCCAGGAGUUGAAGUUAAUAUUUCAAGCAAAUACCCGAGUUGAGAGAUAUGAAGUCUCCAACAAGUUCUAUAGCUAAAAGAUGGAGGAGAAUUGCUCAACUAGUGAUCAUGUGCUCAGAUUGUCUGGGUACUACAAUCGCUUGAAUCAAGUGGGAGUUAAUCUUCCAGAUAAGAUAGUGAUUAACAGAGUUCUCUAGUCACCAUCACCAAGUUACUGGAACUUCGUGAUGAACGAUAGUAUGCAAGGGAUGACGAAACGUUUCCCGAGCUUUUCAUGAUGAUGAAAUCGAUGAAGGUAGAUAUCAAGAAAGAGCAUCAAGUGUUGAUGAUUAACAAGACCACUAGUUUCAAUAAAAGGGCAAAGGGAAAGAAAGGGAACUUCAAGUAGAAUGGCAAGCAAGUUGUCACUACCUUGAAAGAUCCCAAAGCUAGACCAAAGCCUGAAACUGAGUGUUUCUACUGCAAAGGAAAUGGUCACUAGAAGAGGAAAUAUCCUGAAUAUUUGGUAGAUAAGAAGGAUGGCAAAGUGAACAAGGGUAUAUUUGAUAUACAGGUUAUUGAAGUGUACCUUACUAGUGUUUAUAGUAACCCCUAGGUAUUUGAUACUUGUUCGGUUGCUAAAUAUUAGUAACUCGAAACAAGAGUUACAGAAUAAAUAGAGACUAGUUGAGGGUGAAGUGACGAUGUGUGUUGGAAGUAGUUCCAAGAUUGAUAUGAUCAUCAUCGCACACUCCCUAUACUUUCGAGAUUAGUGUUGAACCUAAAUAAAUAUUAUUUGGCGUUUGCGUUGAGCAUGAAUAUGAUUUAAUCAUGUUUAUUGCAAUACGGUUAUUCAUUUAAAGUCGGAGAAUAACUGUUGUUCUGUUUACAUGAAUAAAACCUUCGAUGGUCAUACACCCAAUGAAAAUAGUUUGUUGGAUCUCGACCGUAGUGAUACACAUAUUCAUAAUAUUGAUGCCAAAAGAUGCAAAGUUGAUAAUGAUAGUGCAACUUAUUUGUGGCACUGCCGUUUGGGUCAUAUUGGUGUAAAACGCAUGAAGAAACUCCAUACUGAUGGAAUUUUGGAAUCACUUGAUUAUGAAUCACUUGGUACUUGCGAACCAUGCCUCAUGGGAAAGAUGACUAAAACGGUGUUCUCCGGAACUAUGAAGCGAGCAACUGAUUUGUUGGAAAUCAUACAUACUGAUGUAUGUGGUCCAAUGAAUGUUGAGCCUCGUGGCGGGUAUCGUUAUUUUUUGACCUUCACAGAUGAUUUGAGCAGAUAUGGGUAUAUCUACUUAAUGAAACACAAGUCUGAAACAUUUGAAAAGUUUAAAGAAUUUUAGAGUGAAGUGGAGAAUCGUCGUAACAAGAAAAUAAAGUUUCUAUGAUCUGAUCGUGGAGGAGAAUAUUUGAGUUACGAGUUUGGCCUUCAUUUAAAAACAAUGUGGAAUAGUUUCACAGCUCACGCCACAUGGAACAGCACAGCAUAAUGGUGUGUCCGAAUGUCGUAACCGCACUUUAUUGGAUAUGUUACGAUCUAUGAUGUAUCUUACCGAUUUAUCACUAUCGUUUUGGGGUUAUGCAUUAGAGACAGCUGGAUUCACUUUAAAUAGGGCACCAUCAAAAUCCGUUGAGAUGACGCCUUAUGAACUGUGGUUUGGCAAGAAACCAAAGUUGUCAUUUCUUAAAGUUUGGGGCUAAGAUGCUUAUGUGAAAAAGUUUCAACCUGAUAAGCUCGAACCCAAAUCGGAAAAGUGUGUCUUCAUAGAAUACCCAAAGGAAACUGUUGGGUACACCUUCUACCACAGAUCUGAAGGCAAGAUAUUCGUUGAUAAGAUGGAUCCUUUCUAGAGAAGGAGUUUCUCUCGAAAUAAAUGAGUGGGAGGAAAGUAGAACUUGAUGAGGUAACUAUGCCUGCUCCCUUAUUGGAAAGUAGUUCAUCACAGAAAUCAGUUCAUGUGAUUCCUACACCAAUUAGUGAGGAAGCUAAUGAUGAUGAUCAUGAAACUUCAGAUUAAGUUACUACAGAACCUCGUAGGUCUUCCAAAGUAUAGUACGCACCAGAGUGGUACGGUAAUCCUGUUCUGGAAGUCAUGUUACUAGACCAUGAUGAACCUACGAACUAUAAGGAAGCGAUGAUGAGCCCAGAUUCCGCGAAAUGGCUUGAAUGCCGUGAAAUCUGAGAUGGGAUCCAUGUAUGAGAACAAAGUGUGGACUUUGGUGGACUUGCCCGAUGAUCGGCAAGCCAUAGAAAAUAAAUGGAUCUUCAAGAGGAAGAUAGACGCUGAUAGUAGUGUUACUAUCUACAAAGCUCGACUUGUCAUAAAAAGUUUUUUAACAAGUUCAAGGUGUUGAAUACAAUGAGAUUUUCUCACUCGUAUCAAUGCUUAAGUCUGUCCGAAUCAUGUUAGCAAUUACCACCUUUUAUGAAAUCUGGCAAAUGGAUAUAAAAAUUGCAUUCCUUAAAUGGAUAUUUCUUAAAGAAGAGUUGUAUAUGAUGCAACCAGAAGGUUUUGUCGAUCCAAAGAGUGCUAACAAAAGUGUGCAAGCUCCAGUAAUCCAUCUAUGGACUGGUGCAAGCAUCUCGGAGUUGGAAUAUACGCUUUGGUAGUGUGAUCAAAGCAUAUGAUUUUAUACAAAUUUUUUAGACGCAUGUAUUUAUAAGAAAGUGAGUGGGAGCACUACAGCAUUUCUGAUAAGUAUAUGUGAAUGACAUAUUAUUGACCGGAAAUAAUGUAGAAUUUUUCUAGAAAGCAUAAAGGAGUGUUUGAAAGGAGUUUUUUCAAAGAAAGACCUCGGUGAAGCUACUUACACAUUGAGCAUCAAGAUCUAUAGAGAUAGAUCAAGACGAUUGAUAAGAUUUUUCAAUGAGUACAUACGUUGAUAAGAUUUUGAAGUAGUUCAAAAUAGAACAGUCAAAGAAGGAGUUCUUGCCUGUGUUGCAAGGUGUGAAGUUGAGUAAGACUCAAAACCCGACCAUGGCAGAAAAUAGAAAGAGAAUGAAAAGUCAUUCCCUAUGCCUCAGUCAUAGGUUCUAUAAAAUAUGCUAUGCUGUGUACCAGAUCUAUUGUAUACCCUACACUGAGUUUGGCAAGGGUGUACAAUAGUGAUCUAGGAGUAGAUCACUGGACAGCGGUCAAAAUUAUCCUUAGUAAGGACUAAGUAUUAUGGAGGUGAUAAAAGAGUUCAUCGUAAAGAGUUACAUCGGUGCAAGCUUUUACACCAAUCCAGAUGACUCUAAGUCUCAAUCUGGAUACAUAUUGAAAGUGGGAGCAAUUAGCUAGAGUAGCUCCGUGCAGAGCAUUGUAGACAUAGAAUAUUUGCAAAAUACAUACGGCUCUUAAUAUGACAGACCCGUUGACUAAACUUCUCUCACGAGCAAAACAUGAUCAUACCUUAGUACUCUUUGGGUGUUAAUCACAUAGCAAUGUGAACUAGAUUAUUGACUCUAGUAAACCCUUCAGGUGUUGGUCACAUGAUGAUGUGAACUAUGGGUGUUAAUCACAUACAGAUGUGAAUAUUGGUGUUAAAUCACAUGGUGAUGUGAACUAGAUUAUUGACUCUAGUGCAAGUGGGAGACUAAAGGAAAUAUGCCCUAGAGGCAAUAAUAAAGUUAUUAUUUAUUUCCUUAUUUCAUGAUAAAUGUUUAUUAUUCAUGCUAGAAUUGUAUUAACCGGAAACAUAAUACAUGUGUGAAUACAUAGACAAACAUAGUGUCACUAGUAUGCCUCUACUUGACUAACUCGUUGAUCAAAGAUGGUUAUGUUUCCUAGCCAUAGACAAAGAGUUGUCAUUUGAUUAACAGGAUCACAUGAUUAGGAGAAUGAUGUGAUUGACUUGACCCAUUCCAUUAGCUUAGCACUUGCUCGUUUAGUAUGUUCCUAUUGCUUUCUUCAUGACUUAUACAUGUUCCUAUGACUAUGAGAUUAUGCAACUCCCGUUUACCGGAGGAACACUUUGUGUGCUACCAAACGUCACAACGUAACUGGGUGAUUAUAAAGGUGCUCUACAGGUGUCUCCGAAGGUACUUGUUGGGUUGGCGUAUUUCGAGGUUGGGAUUUGUCACUCCGAUUAUCGGAGAGGUAUCUCUGGGCCCACUCGGUAAUGCACAUCACUAUAAGCAUUGCAAGAAUUGCAACUAAUAAGUUAUUUGCGGAAUGAUGUAUUACGGAACGAGUAAAGAGACUUGUCGGUAACGAGAUUGAACUAGGUAUUGAGAUACCGACGAUCGAAUCUCGGCCAAGUAACAUAUCGAUGACAAAGGGAACAACUUAUGUUGUUAUGCGAUUUGACCGAUAAAGAUCUUCGUAGAAUAUGUGGCAGACAAUAUGAGCAUCCAGGUUCCGCUAUUGGUUAUUAACCGGAGACGUGUCUCGGUCAUGUCUACAUAGUUCUCGAACCCGUAGGGUCCGCACGCUUAAAAUUCGAUGACGGUUAUAUUAUGAGUUUAUGUGUUUUGAUGUACCGAAGGUAGUUCGGAGUCCUGGAUGUGAUCACGGACAUGAUGAGGAGUUUCGAAAUGGUCGAGAUAUAAAGAUUGGUAUAUUGGACGACUAUGUUCGGACACUGGAAUGGUUUCGGGGAGUAUUGGGCAUAUACCGGAGUACCAGGGGGUUACCGGAACUCCCCGGGGAGACAAAUGAGCCUAUUGGGCCCUAGUGGAGAAGGGGAGGGGCGACCAAGGGCAGCCGCGCGCGCCCUCCCCCCCCCCCCCUCCCCCCAGUCCGAAUUGGACAAGGAGGGGGGCGGCGCCCCCCUUUCCUUUCNNNNNNNNNNNNNNNNNNNNNNNNNNNNNNNNNNNNNNNNNNNNNNNNNNNNNNNNNNNNNNNNNNNNNNNNNNNNNNNNNNNNNNNNNUCUCUCUCCUUCCCUCUCCUCUCCUACUCCCACUUGGAAGGGGGGAGUCCUACUCCCGGUGGGAGUAGGACUCCUCAUGGGGCGCGCCUAGGGUGGCCGGGCCCCUCCCCCUCCUCCACUCCUUUAUAUACGGGGAGGGAGGCACCCCUUAGAGACACAACAAUUGAUCCAUUGGAUCUCUUAGCCGUGUGUGGUGCCCCUCUCCACCAUAAUCCACCUCGAUAAUAUCGUAGCAGUGCUUAGGCGAAGCCCUGCGUCGGUAGAACAUCAUCAUCGUCACCACGCUGUCGUGUUGACGGAACUCUCCCUCAAAGCUCGGCUGGAUCGGAGUUCGAGGGACGUCAUCGAGUUGAACGUGUGCUGAACUCGGAGCUGCCGUGCGUUCGGAACUUGAUUGGUCGGAUCGUGAAGACGUACGACUACAUCAACUGUGUUGUGCUAACACUUCCGCUUUCGGUCUACAAGGGUACGUGGACACACUCUCCCCUCUCGUUGCUAUACAUCACCAUGAUCUUGCGUGUGCGUAGGAAAUUUUUUGAAAUUAAUACGUUCCCCAACAGGUUCUUUGGCCCUGUGGUAUUUAUAGGGCAUCCACACCGUGUGACUCUUCCAAUAAUUAAAGUUUGGCUUUAUCUCUUUCACCCAACUGCCCUUAAUGGUAGUCAAUUAGAAGUUAUAGAGAUAGCUCAGUAUACAAUCACACUGAGAUGUACUAGCAUACUCCUUUAGAGAAAGUGCAAUAGCAGGCUUAUAAUCCGCUUAGAGCAUCUACAGUCGGACCCCGUAAACAUCCGUAGAUGUGCCCGGAUGCGUCCACGGACAGUGAUCGGUCUUCCUUCACAACUACGCUUUCACGGCAUGUACCCCCCCCCCCCACACACACACACAAAACUAUGGUAUAUGUGCAACGUGAGAGAAACUGCAUAGAUCAACGUAUGAAACAUAGCAACAAAAGAGACAUAGAUUCACAGUUCAUAUGGACAUAGCGUCACAUUUCAUCGGACCAAAUAGACAGUAGAUUCAUACUAAAGAUUAACUAAAUACUAAUCAGAGAAGGACAUGGGCAUCGGAAGUCACCAUUUCCUCUCCGGCCCCUUUCCCUUGCGGUUAACGGUGCGGCUGCAGCCCUCCGUGUAGGCAACGACAGUGGGAAGGGUGCCGUCGGACCAGGAGGAGAUGAUGAAAAGUUGCAAAGUAGAAGAGGCUGAGAGAAGAAUCACAGGACAGAGAAAUAUGUGAACUUUUGUUGUACCAGCAGGAUGAGCAAGAGAGGCAGAGGAGGUUCAAUGAGUAUUUGCAAAUGAAGGAGCAGGACAGACAACAUGCAUGGGAGGCAAAAAUGCAAGUUGGGCAAGGGAACAUGGAAGAAGCUGAAUUACAGAACAUGGACCAAACAGAGGACCUUGGGAACCUUGCUUGGGUUGCGGAACCACGUGCCCAUGACGAGCUUGCACUUGUCCUCCGACGGCCUCAUGUUGAUGAGCUUGUCGCCUAGCUUGUCAGGAGCGUGUUCACGGCCUCUGGCUCGCACGCCUCCUGGAGUACCCUUUCGAAGCUCAUUGUGGUCUUGUACGGUAGCUCGUCGGGAGUACUCUGCAUCGCGCGGUGCCAGAGAACGAACUGGAUCCAGGAGCCAGCUUGCUUCACCUACAUUGGCGAUUCGAGCAUGCGUGUGCACAUCGCCUCCUCCUUGAAGGUGGGCCAAAGGUCAUGCUGAGGGUUGGCCUCCUUGAUGCACAUCUGUGCGGGCAAGAUGGAAGUUUUAUUUUCCAGGACAUCAAGUCUGGCCUUCGCCGUUAGCCCAGCGAUGCGAUCUCCAACGGCGACUGCCAAUAAUACCCGACUGUGGUACUGAGCCUCCAAUGCAUCCAUCCACGGCGUGCACUAGAGGAGAACAUAGCCGGAAUCCGGUCGGAGUUCUGGCUCCCCGCGCCGCCACACCUCCUGCGUGAACUUCCUCCCAGCCCACCAGUGCGGGUUCGCACGGCUUUGUCCACCGGCUCACACCGGCUUAGCGGGAGGGCAACGACAGUGCUACCGCUGGUAGCAGAGAUCUCGCUGCCAUUCAUGUAUAUGGGGAGGGGGAUUGGGAGGGGGAAGAGGGAAAGAACGGCUGGGGAUGGGGAUUGAGGAUUUAGGACAGAGACAGCUGGAGUGGAGCGCGGGUUGGUUUUCAGAAACGGCAGGGGUGUGACCGUAAAAAGAUNNNNNNNNNNNNNNNNNNNNNNNNNNNNNNNNNNNNNNNNNNNNNNNNNNNNNNNNNNNNNNNNNNNNNNNNNNNNNNNNNNNNNNNNNNNNNNNNNNNNNNNNNNNNNNNNNNNNNNNNNNNNNNNNNNNNNNNNNNNNNNNNNNNNNNNNNNNNNNNNNNNNNNNNNNNNNNNNNNNNNNNNNNNNNNNNNNNNNNNNNNNNNNNNNNNNNNNNNNNNNNNNNNNNNNNNNNNNNNNNNNNNNNNNNNNNNNNNNNNNNNNNNNNNNNNNNNNNNNNNNNNNNNNNNNNNNNNNNNNNNNNNNNNNNNNNNNNNNNNNNNNNNNNNNNNNNNNNNNNNNNNNNNNNNNNNNNNNNNNNNNNNNNNNNNNNNNNNNNNNNNNNNNNNNNNNNNNNNNNNNNNNNNNNNNNNNNNNNNNNNNNNNNNNNNNNNNNNNNNNNNNNNNNNNNNNNNNNNNNNNNNNNNNNNNNNNNNNNNNNNNNNNNNNNNNNNNNNNNNNNNNNNNNNNNNNNNNNNNNNNNNNNNNNNNNNNNNNNNNNNNNNNNNNNNNNNNNNNNNNNNNNNNNNNNNNNNNNNNNNNNNNNNNNNNNNNNNNNNNNNNNNNNNNNNNNNNNNNNNNNNNNNNNNNNNNNNNNNNNNNNNNNNNNNNNNNNNNUAUUGAUUGAUUUAUGAAUUAGAUUUAUACGUAGCAUAUAUGUUCAUCGGCCGUCCCUGUUCUUGUGUUGUGUACUAGUAUAAUGCAAGUGUACCGGGGUCAGAAAUACAUGUUUGAGCAAUGUGCAAACUCGAGCCUCAAAAGUGUAGAGAUAUGGAUCACAUCGAGUCCAACGAACCAUAGAGGGUCUUGCACUAUUUUUUGCUUACCGAAUGGGAUGAAACCGCUGGCACACAAAUUCCAGAUGUAUCCCAAACCUAACUGCCAAUGUAUUGAGAAUUGAGAUGGGCGUUAAAAGAUUUUGAUAUAUACGACGAGUACAUUGUAAGGCCAUGUCUUAGCUUGUGUAUGGUAUGGUUCUUCGGCCCUGUGGUAUUUAUAAUCGGGUAUCCAUACUGUAUGACUCGGAAUAAUUAAAGUUCAGCUUUAUCUCUUUCACCCACCUGCACUUAAUAGUAGUCAAUUACAAGUUAUAGAGCCAGCUCACUACACGAUAUCAUAUACUCCUAUUGUACUUGCUCUAAAGGAGUAUGCUAGUACAUCUCAGCCAAAAUGGAGAUUCCAGUAAUAACAACGACAAUUCAGCACCUAAUUACUACUUGUUCAACAGAACAUCAAAGGUUCAGCUAGCAAGUUAAAACUGACAAUGAAACACAGAGGCAACAUUCUGCACCCCAAGACCAAAUUAUUUUGCACAUGGUGUGCAGUUUUAUCCUCUUGAACUGAUUUAGCAGGGCAACCCUUGCAACAUUUGUUCGUUGCCUUGAUGCUGCACCAUGACCAAUGCAGUAGCUGAUACUCAGGUACACAUAAUAAACUAACUUGCAUCUUCAUUAAGUAAGUCUGUGCCACACGCAUAUCAGAAGAUUUAUUUAGCUCUUCCUAAGCCCAACUCAUAGCAAUUGCCCCAAGAUAACUAACACAACUAUUGGUCCCAAAAACGAGUCAGCAAAUUUUGAUGUAGCUCCUCUCAGUUUAUUCCGCUUGAUCCUACCGCCCGCCAAGCGAGACAUGAAAAAGGUCGGCCAAUCCAUCUGUAAUGGGUUAGCAUCGUGACAAUGCCGCAAAACCAGUCGGUGACAGUCUCCAUCGCCCCAGGUUGGAGAUCUACAAUGUACACACAAUCUUGAUUUCGGUACUAAAAUAAUUGUCUAACUUCAAGCCAAGCUGUUUUGGCAAUUACAGUAGUACAUGCAAAUUCAAAUACUUCUCAAAUUAUUUUUAAAAUUUUCAUAUCCCAAACAAAUUUUGCUGGAAGUUUUGGCUGAAAUUAGUGAAAACAAAAAUCACAAAAAUUCAAUGAAAAAUAGGUGAUUUUGCCUAUGGACUAAACAGUUCUGAAACUUAAAUGCAAAACCAUGGCUAGCACUAGCUCUUCACAUUUAGGUGAAGGCUUCUUCUCAUGUAUGCCAUAUUAAUUAGCUGGAUGACCUUCUAUGAAGGAUGGAAAUAUUCGGUUGGUCCAUGCAAAGGGGAAACAAUCGGUUAGUUGGUGGAUUUUCAGCCUAUAAUGGAGUGCAUGGCUCAGGGUGAAUAGAGAUGGACCUGAGGGGCGAACAUCACAUGAUAGCACCCCAAAGGAGACGAAUGUGAAGAGAGAACAGAGGAUGUUGCAUUCGAUCUUUUCUUAAGGUUUGAGUUUUUCUUCAGGGAUUUGUGAGUUGUGACCCAGCAAAUAAGAGAAAUUUGAGUAAGUAAAUGGUGGAGCGAAUGCAAUAUAAAAACACUUCAACUGAAAUCUGAAACAAUCUAAGUCUACCUUACCCCAUUCUUGUAUCAUGUUAGAUGUUCUUUGAACUACUUCAUGCACACUCUGCUGCUGCAUGUGUUACUGCACAUAUAUAAUUUCAUCUGAACAAUUUCGACACACUUCAUCCUACAAAAUUCUGAUCUAGUGUAGUGUCAAAAACGUUCUUAUAUUAUGGGACGGAGGGAGUAGUUUAUUAAUUUCAGUCCAUUGAUAUUUAUUUGCAUCAAUGUUAUAUCCCUAUCUUUUGUAGCAUUGGAUCAAGAUUCAUGUCAUCGCCGCUGGUUCAACCUAUUCAUGGCUUCCAUCAUAGGGAAAAGGAAGGACACCAUUUUGUGACGCUGCCAACUAACUUUAGUCGGGGAGUACCUACAUUUUUUAGCUGGGGUGUACCUACAUAGCAACUCAUUUACAACCCGCUCGUGUAUGAGAUAGGGUCAACAUAAUCCUCUGUUUCACCGAGCGUUGUUUUAUCGAGAAGUAUGGAUGAAUUAAAAAACAAGAUAGUGUUAUAGGUUCAAACAUGUCAAUUUUGAUCACAAUUAACUGGAAACUUUCCUUUUUAUAGAUAAUUGAAAUUCACAGAAUACAGACAACACCAUUCAUUUGCUCAACUAGCACACCAUGUCUAAACAAGAACAUGUCAAAACGGGCAGCUUCAAAGAACCCAGAGAGAACGACAUUCUGCACCUCAAGCACAAAUUAAGCUGCACACUGCAAUUUCAUCAUCUUGAUCCGAUGAAGAAGCCGUAGCCAGUGUCCAUGAUCUUAAUUAAUUUGCGUGUCCAUCAAGUUUGCCACACUUCACGCUCAAAAGUAAAAACAUCUGUCACACACAAAACGUAACACUUUUGUAGCUCUUACGAGGCACAUGCAGUACAACUAACCCAAAAGUAAUCUCCCGAGCAAUUCCUCCCAAAAAGAGUCCAGUAUAGCUCCUCCAAAUUUAGUCCUCUCAAUGCUACUGCCCACCAAGCGAUACAUGAAGAAGGCCGACCAGUCGAUCUCAAACGGGAUAGCUCCGACAACAACACCACGAAACCAGCUUUGAAUCAUCUCCAUUGCCCCUGUUUGGGGAUCAAUAAUGUGCACACAGCCUUGGUUGUCAUUGAGGAGCAAUGCGCCGCCCAUCUCACCCAUGCAGAUGCAUUGCGCCAGGAUGAUCCAACCUUGUUGGGGUCGGUUUAGCUCAAUCGUCUAAGUGUGGAGCCAGUCUGCGUGUAGGGAAUAAAUCUUGUCCAGAAGUGAAAUUGAAAAGCCAUCAACAGGCCAGGAUUAGAACAAGAGCCACUUACAGAGAAAAGAAAAAAGAUGAGAGAACGGCAAAGAUACAAGGUGUUGCAACAGCUUACAAGCAAAAAAAAGUUACAGGCAAAAGAAAAGGAAUGAGGCAUGGCCUGAAACACCAAGGAUGAAACGUCUUGAGCAGAAGGCAGCACCAGCGGGGAGAUGAAAGACAUGGAAGUAGUCGCCACCGUCAGAAGAAUGCAGCCUCGCUCACUCCAUACAAUCCAAAACUAUGUCAGUGUCACCAUGCCAUUCCACUUUCUCAUUUAUACAAUGCUACAUGGUGUAUGACUUAAUAGAAACCUUCUCCAGCCGAAAGAAAAUGGUGUGCCCCAAGCCGGGGAUCAGUCAAAAUACAUGUUGAUGCAGCUGUGGGAAGACAUAGAGACAGGGGUCCAAUAGGGCGAUCUAUGAAGAUGAAACUGAUGCAUAUCUUGGAGCUUGGCGGUAUGUAUAGCUGAUAUGAUUGAUCCGGAAAUCCUGGAAUCGACGAUGUGCAGUGAAGCUCUAUCUUUGGCUGCAGAUAUUUGUUGCCAGCGGCUUGUUAUAUCUACUGGUUGUGCAGCUCCAGUUAAGCAUAUCCAAGGUGUCCAUCUGGGAAAAUCAGGAGUAAUCAUCAAGGGAAUUCAGAAGAUGGAGGAUUUUACCUCAGUGCAUAUCAUCCAUGAGAAGCUAUAUUGUAAUGUUGAAGGUCAUAAUUUGUCUGAAGCAGCAGCUAUUAUAGAUUUUGGAACGCACAUAUGGCUAUCUAGUAGGCCCGUCGAACAUUUUGAUUGAAUAAAAUGCUUUCCAACCCUAAGAAAGAAGGUAUACAAGCCAACCUGAGUGAACAAUACUGAACCGGUCCAAAUAGAAAAAAUGGGUGGCACGCUACCUGGGCACUGACAUGUGGGUUCAAGUUGUCUAAAACAAUUUAGGCUGAUCAUUACCAGAUCCUAAGGAGUGGUUAAACAAGAUAUCCUGCAACCAAUGACAUCUAAAAAUCUUCUGAAUAAAAUAUGCCAGUUUCUCCAAUUGAAGCAUUUCCUGGAAAAGAACCUAAUUAAUCAGAGAGAACUGCUGUGAAACUUUGCUCAGUUGGCAAGCAAGAUUAGGGCUCCACGACGGGAAAACAGAGAGCAAGGUGCAGGUGAAUGUCAGACAGGAUCAUAACAUAAUUCAUCUUCACUCCAAUAUUAACUUGAUGUCCCCUUGUAUAUUCAUGCUCACUUCCUCUUAUUUAUUUGCAUGUUGUGCUGGCCGCGUAAUUCACCGGCAUGUGUAUUGAUCCCACCAACACAAUCAGACCCACAGGACCAUAAUUCAGGAGGUAUCGAAUAUGAUGAUUGCAUACAUAAAUUCCACAAAAAUAUCUAAUUUUAGGUUUAAAGAAAUGCUUGCUCAAUGCAUACAUGUGUUCUGGUCAUCUGCCACAAGUUUUACCUUAAUCUCUAAUUAUAGCAAAGAACGUAAAAAGCAAAUUAAGCAGCAAUCCAGGAGAUAAUGCAACUUGUGCAAAUGAAAUGUCAAUUACGAUCACAAUUAGCUGUGAAGUUUUCUUCUUUGAUAAUGGGGAUUCUCAUAAUAAUACAAACGACUACACCAAUAAAUCCAUGGGAUAAUAUUUGUAAAAUAGCUCCAUUGAGUCCAAUGUUGGUUCUCAGCACCUCAUUACUAUUUGUUCAACAGAACAUCAAAGGUUCAGCUAGCAGUAGCACACCAAGUCUAAACAGGCACAUGUUAAAACUGAGAAUAAAACAGAGGCCAUAUUCUACACCACUAGACCAAAUUAUUCUGCGCAGUUGUAUCCUAUUGAUCUGAUUUAGCAGGGCAACCCUUGCAACAUCUGUCCCUUGCCUUCACGCUGCACCAUGAUCAAUCUCGUAGCCAAUGCGCAGGUACACAUGACAAAUUAACUUGCAUCUUCAUUAAGUCUGCCACAACCAG
rnacentral:lncRNA from 1 species